rnacentral:lncRNA from 1 species
GGAGGAAAGUAUUUAAAAUAUGGUGGCGACGGCGCGGUAGGAGUAGGCUCAUAAAUGGGAGUAGGAGGAGGAAGUGGCUUGUAAAUGGGAGUGGGAGGUGGAAGUGGCUUGUAAAUGGGAGUGGGAGAAGGUGUUUUUUCCUUUGGGGGGCAUGGUUUAUUCACAACUGGAGAUGGAGUACUAAUAGGAGGUUUCUUAUAUGGUGCUGGGGGUUUCUUAUACACUGGCACUGGAGGAAGAGGUUCCUUAUAGACUGGCACAGGGGGAGGGAGAGAGUAGUCAUCUUUAGGAGGGUAAGGGAAUUCUGGGUGGUGUUUGAAGAAAUGCCAAAAGAAGGCUGAAGUGCACAAUGCUGAUGAGAAUCUGAGUUUUCCAGCAGCAGGUGCAAGGGUGUGUGUGUCUUCAGAGACUGACCUGGUCACAAUUUUGGAGUUUCCGUGGGAAGGGCAAGGUUCAGCAGAUGCACUAUGCAACUGGGCAUAGCAAUCUUCUUUUAGCUCACCAUCUUCAACCAUGUCCUGUGGAAGUGAUACUUUGAAGUUUCCAUAUUCAUCAAGCGCACCUGCCCCUCUCGUUCUGAAGUGUCCAUGUCGUGACUUGCAAUCUACCGUCACACGUAACCCUACACGCAAGUAACGCAAACGAUUCUCAUAUAGACUAGAAUUUGGCUUCGUACAAUAGAUGAUGAUUAAAUAAAAACCAAUAGUUUAUUGACAUUAUUCCACUAAUCAUAUAUAUAACAUAUUCAUGUACUGCUAUGACACAAAGUACCUGAGAAAGCGUGGUUAUUCUUAAUAUUGUUCUGCCUGCAGUCUGCGCAUUCUCCUAGGCCAACUACCUCCACUGUCCUGUGCUCUUCAUUGUUGAAUCCUGUUACCACAAAAAACACAGACAACAACCAGAAGCACACUAGUGCUCCUUGGCGCCCGAUGAAAAUUUGCAUUGGGAAUUGCAGUUACUGAUCCCAAUGCCAAUAAACUAGAACAGCAGAUAAGGCAGACUUGGAACUGAGAGAUGAAGUAGAUUGAGAUUCAUCAUAAGCUUAAUUUAUAACAAUCAUAUUCGUAAAUGGAUGGCUCACUGACUCUGAAAUUAAUCACCCCACGUAGUCACGUGGGGCCGGAGACCGUUAUGUGACUUGGAUGCUUAAAGGGAAAUGAUAUUAACGUGCAAACCAGCAGCAAAUCACUAAAUGUAUCUUUAUGUGCAAUAUCUGUCUCAACCUACCAAAAUAGCUCUAAUAAGUCACUUAUUCAAGUUACUUAAUUGUUCAUCUUUUUUCUUGCAGCAAUAAAUUCCCGGCUAUGUUACUACUAUUACAUUGGUCAGGACUAAGGAGCCCAAGUAGUUUCCAAUUUAUCCUUUAUUAUUAGUUAAAAUGUAUGUAAAUCCCAUUAAGUGAGACAUCUACUCUACAUUGGAAAGGUUUCUUAAUUAUAAUUUGUUGCUAAUCAACAUGUGUUGUGUCUCAAAGAAAAAGGGUUGAUAUAUAUAUAUAUAUAUCUAGAAAAAGAAAGAAUAUUGAUAAAAAAAAAAAGGGGUGGGGGGCUAGUACAAAUUUAUGUUCCAUUGAUUUGUACAUUUGAGAGCGUUAAGAGUAACCACCAUCCCCUUUGCGUUUCACCACUAAUUUCAUACCUCAACCAACUCAUUUUACGGGACCCUAUCAAAUUUAGAGAUUCAAUCUGUUCCCAUAUGACUACACAUGCAUCUGCUAUCCAAAAAAUUGAUGCCAGCAGCAGACAUUAGUUAUUGUCAUUACUAAUUAGUUAAUCUUUAAUACGCUAGUCUCAUUUAAACCAUGAAGAAAAACAGAAAGCGCUCGAACUAUGAAAUUGCUGCGAUUUUCAGCGGAAAUACAUCAAUACUACAACAACAUCAUUACUGUGUAAUUGAAUAUUGGGGCGAGUGAAGGUUUCCGAUGAUACAAAUACAUUCAACUUUAUUACAUACUGCUACAAAUGUUGUGUUAAAGCAAUCGUCAUCGCUGAAUUCACCACCCAAUGGUUGAGUUCUUGGUGUGCUUUUGUUUACCGCUAAAUGCUAAUCCUCUUAACGUGCAUGAGCAUCAACUACUGAAAAUUAUGUCGAGUUAAAAUUAUUUAAUAAUGAGUGACUUAAUUACAUCAUCUUUUGUUGGAAAGAGCCACUACACCAGGAAAUUAAAGUAGAACAACCUCGUGUCAAGAGAGGGUGAAAUGGAAACAAGAAAGGUAAAAAUAUAGUCUCUUCCUUAAUGUCUAUUACAAAGUGUGAUGAGUUCUAUUAGUUUGCUCACCAGAAGAAGUUUUGCUAUUACCAUAGGCAAAAAGACCUCAACAAUUCAUUGUUAUGUAUCGAUAUAUAGUCUUAAAUUCAUCAGGAAUCCCCUUAUUAUUUUAUCAACGCACAAGAAAGUCCUGAAAAUUUUGCGAGUAAGAACGCAUGCAAUAAAUUUGAAUUUUUGUGCGAUUUAUUAAAGGACUCAGCCCUCGAUAAUUUAGUCUUUAGUAAUGUUCAAGGCUAAAAUUUCGGUAAUUCGCAGGUAAGAAGGCAACAAAUAUGUUUUUUUUUUUUUUGUGUAAUUCACCGGGGGUUAAGUUGUCAAUAAUUUGACCUUCAGCAUACCCACAAAAAAAUGGUGUUAAUUUAUUUAUUUUUAUUUAAACACAUGUCCCAUGCUUCCAUAGCUAAGUGGAACAAAAUUACAACAUGUUUGAAGCAAAACAUACAAAAGGUUACUUAAUUAAAACUUAAAAGUACGUUCAGCCCACCCAAACAUAUGCAUUCAGUCUCUCUCUAUCCACACGCAAAGAACAUAUUUCUCCCAGUCUCCACACACAAAGAACAUAUCUCUCCAGUCUCCACACACAAUGACACAAAGAACAUAUUAAAUGAGAUUUUUCUUAUUUUUAAAAACAAUAACUAUAGAUGAAAUCAUUAAAUCAUAUUUAAAUAGUCAAAAUUAAAUUAAAAAAAUACACAAGUUUUUUAAAUGGUUAUGUAACUAUUAAUUAUUUUUUAAUCUUAAUCAACCAUAUAUGAUCGGAAAACCCAGAUUUAAUAUGGACCAUUAGAUCGAAGACACACUCUUCGCAAGGUAAAUCAUCCUCUCCUUUUUCCAGUGAGUUUCCCCUCCCCUUUUUUUUGUAGCAUUCAGCUAUACAAAGCAGUUUCGUUUAUUUUUUUUUCUUAAGCAAUUAAGCAUUUCUGAAUUUCAGUUGUUCGCAUACAAAAAUAUUAAGAAAUGUGGUUUAUAUGUGCUAUUUUGUCAUCAGCACUAUGACAGGGUCCAGGGAUAAACGCAGAACGCUCUAUUUAUACGUUACUUUAGAGAAACAAGAGCAAAUGCCCUUGUAUAUAUGUGUCAUGGAAAAAUUUGCUUGGCAAUUUAAUUUGAAUAACCAUAUGGUGAUCAGAGUUAUGCAUGGCAUGAUGAUGUCAUCUAAUUUAUGUUAAUUUAGCGCUCCCAUCCUUCUGAAUAGUAAGAUACCUAGCCAUCCAUAUACACUUGGAAUACCCCAAACAAAUUAAUAAGUUAUACACUCAAAGAAUAAAUGCCAAACCCAACCAAGGCUAUAUGAGAAGCAUGGAAGCUGGUAAAGUCAUAAGGUUUGUGCUUUGUGAGAGAGGAGAAAAUGGAGCGGUUCUACCCCAAGAGAAGGGGAAGUGGUCUUGCAGAAUGGAAACAGGGUGGGAGCAUGGGCAAUGUUUCUGCACCUCCGGGCCAUUUGCUCACCAUAUUCGGCAUUGUCAUUGGCUUGUUGUCCUUCUCCCGUUACAAAGACUACAAGGCUCAGCUCCAUACCACAGCCUUCAGCUUUCAGCUAUUCCUCUUCUUGUUGCCCGUCUUCUUCAUCUUCUUCAUCUUUUCAUAUUCUACUACCUCAAGGCUCAACUUUCACGCAUUCAGACCAUGACUCUAACUGCCACUGGAGUUGCUUAAUACAAAGUAACGCUUGUCUCUUUCUAUUCUUUAUGUAACUAAUAAAUAAACAAGUUAACAUUUAUGUUGCAACUUAAUUGCAAGUAGCUUUUUUUAUUUUAUUUCUUGCUCUACUACAAUUUCUCGCAAUAUUUAAGCAAUGUUUGGAUAGCAUUGAAAAAGUAAUUUUACGAAUUCUAAUGUACACAAUGAAUAAGUAAAAAAUGUUACUUUUAAAAAUACAAGUACUUUUAACAAUGUGCUUAAUUUUGUCUCCAAAAUCACGGUGAAAAAUUAAAAAAAAGAUGAAACAACUAUUUCUUAUUUUUAGCUUUUAACAUGAAAUCCAAACAUGAACUUAAAACAUCUACCUCCGAUUGCUUCUCUUUCUCUUACGAAGUAGUAUGUCUUAAGGUAUGACUAGAGUAGUUUAUUUCAUAUUUACAAGAUCUUGUAGUUAAUAUUUUAUAGAGGUAGUAUUGACAAAAAAAAGGUUACUCCUUAAUAUUAGAUUUAAAUAAUUAUCAAAUUUACUUAAGAAUAAAAUAUUUCUUGAAAAAGAUGGUUUGUCAUUUUGGACUAAUUAUUUUCCAUUCUCAGAUAUUAACUAGCGAUAAAUAAGUGACUCGUAAAAUUUUUUAAUAACGCAGAUGACAAGCUAUCUUACAGAGCAUUACUUGUCUAUGGAAUGUAGAGACAAAGCUAUCUUACUGAGCAUUUUGUAAAAUUGCUUAAUAACGCAGAUGACAAGUUAUUCUUUAACCCGGUUGAGUGUAAUUCAGUACACUCAAUAGCCAACAAUUUAUUAUACAGGUCUCAACUCUCAAGAAACUAAUGAUGUCGAAUUACAUUAUUUUAAACCUAAACAACAAGCAAAUCCACCAAAAUUGCGUUUCUUCCCUCAUCUUUUAAGCAGAAAUACCGGAUCAAGUUUUGUUCUCUAAUACUAAGUAUCUAAGUAACGCAAGUAAGAAACCGUUGUUUCGAUUAUAAUAUAAUCUUUUAUUUGAAUCAUCAAUAACUUAUUUAUCAAUCUUUUUUCUUUUAAUAAAAAAAAGUUAUUAAAAUCUUUUAUAUCCCUUUGCCCGUUUGUCAUCAUCAUAUUCAUGUAGGAAGAAAUACAUUCAUAAUCACAAAACACCUUAAAUACAAUUCAUAAAUUCAUAUUCAUAGAGCAGCAUAAUCUAAUCAUCUACAUAUCUACGAUAAUCACAAAGGCUUGCAUCAAAGUUACUAUGUUCUUUCUCUAUAAAUAAGUAAUAAACACAAACAAAGCUCGUAACUAUAGAGAUACCAAGAAACUCUAAACAGAGGACGAAAUAAAAUCAAACAAACCAGGCAUCAAGAAAAGUGGAGUGAUAAUGAAGAAGCACGAGAACAAGCAGGAUCAAAGCAGCAACACCCCAAGGGGAGCUACCCUCUGAUGGGAAGUGGUGGGUUCUCCUACGCCUCUCCCAUGGCGAGGAGUUAAAGAAGAACCAUUCUGAAGUAUCCACUGACGAUAACCAACGAACUACGAGUAUUAGCACCACUGGUGUGGCUAACAGCAUCCACCCCAGUUGUUCUUCAGCGGCUUCAACUACUUCUUCAUACGACAAGUACCAUGAAAUGCCGAGGAAUAGAAGGAUCAGUGAUAAGAUUAGCAGAACGGGGUAUGGCACGGGGUUUAGACUGAAACCGUCCAAAACAGAGGAUGCUCUGCUUCUACCAUAGCCCAUUUUAAUUCAGAACUGUUGGAUGAGUUUGUGUCCUGUUUUGUUUAUUUAUAAUAGCUGAAGAUGAGGACGAGAGUGCUACGUUUGGUUGGUCGCUUAUUUUGCGAAAUAAAGUUUGUACUUGAUGAUUUGGCGCUGUCUGAUUUGUGGGAGUGCAACCCAUUUAAAAUGAUAGUCAAAAGAUCGGAGUUAGUGACACUAGGUACGACAUCCUAAACAAGGGUAAUGUGUAGGACAUCAUAUACCACAAAACAAAGUGUGUGUUUUAUAUGUAUAUACUAUUAAUUUUUAAUUAAUUGCUUUUUGAACGGGUAGGUUUGCAUUGUGAAUAACUGAAUACAUCUGGUUGUUGCUCAAUUCAUUACUAUUUACGAGGGAUGCCCCACCAUUCAAAUGGAGACACGUUGUAGUUAUCCUGUGCGAAAGUAAUGUUACCUGUUAGAAUGAGGAAAAAGAGUAACGUACAACUAGUUAAUUAUAUUCCUCGGCGAAAAAAAAACUAGUUAAUUUUUUUAUCAUAUAAAAGCUAGUUCAUUAUAUUGAUAUGUAGUUAAUUAUAUUUCAUAAAUGGUUAAAAGUAAAUCAACAUGAUCCUAUACUGGUACAUAGUUAACGGUGUUAUAAGGUUGGGAGAAAGAUAUUUUAAGUUUGAAUUAAUAAAAAUUAAUAACAUAUUUUUAAUAAAAAAUACUUAAUAAUAUUAUAAGUUUAUUGAAAUAUUUAUGAUGUAUUUGAUUCAGGGGAUGAAGAUAGAGAUAAUGAAAAUAGAAGAUUUUUUUAAAAAAUUAAAUAGAUAAUGAAAAUAGAAGAAAAAUUUAAUGAGUCUCGCAUUGGAUGCAUCAAAUUUCUCUCAUCCUUUCUUAAACCAAACAUAACUUUAAGGUUUGAUUAUAUUUAGUUUGAUAAUUUAUCUUUUAAAAAAUUUAAUUUAAUCUUUUAUCUUUUUAGAGCACGAUUUUGAAUUAUGUUUAAUUAUUUCAAGAUAUGAAACUUGUUAUAUUAGAUACCCUUAUAAGAAAGAUUAUAAAACUUAAUUGAUAUUUUGAUAACGGUAAAAUAUGAGCUAAUUUAAUAGUUAAUUUUGACUAAUAAAUGGGUGUGAUUUCUUUAUUUUAUUAUUAUUUUUAAUAAAAUAAUGAAGAAAUUAUCAUCUUUGCUAUUUUUUAUCAGCAUAAUUCAAAAGAAGAAGAUUUUAAGUGUUUUGAAGGGAAAAUUGAUGUAAAAAUUGGACAAAAAAACCUUGAAGAAAAGUUGAAAGAAUUGGACAACUUGCUUAGCAUGCAAUCCAAGCUAAGUGUGCAGUCUCGCUCAGCACGCAACCUAGGUUUAGCACGAGAAGGCCCACGAGAAAGCCUAGAUGCGCUAAGUGCGAGGUCAGCGUAAAAUGUAAGCUACCUUAGGCCUAUAAAAGGAAGACAAAGCAAAAGGAAAAUACACAUCGAGUCUCAGAGCUAUCCAAAGCCUACAUCUAUCCCUUAGGAAAAACCUAAACUCUUUUUGUUGAGAGUCUCGAGGCCAAAUUCUUGUAAUAUAAUUUGUUCCUAUUAUUUAUUUAAUGUAAUUGCAAUUAUGUUUUUAUUAUUCUUCUGUGUGUUUUUCUGUUAUUAUGUACUGAUCACCCAUACAUGGUAAUGCAUUAAAAAAUGGUUAUUUUCUAAAGAAAUGAGAAAUAGUAUCUUAAUAAAUUCAUUGCUAGGAAUAGAUAAACAUUUAUUUUACCCACGAAUUUUUACAUAUCUUAUCUUAAUGCGGUUUGUUUAUCUUUAUAAAGAAAAUUGAAAAAAAAAAGAUAAAUAAACUAGGUCCUUCAUGCAGGAAAUUAAAGAUAAGAUAAUUUAGUAGAUGAGAGUGAAAACAACGAUUUCAUUUAUUAGAGAAAAUCUACUGCAAUACAUUAUAAGUAAUUUUGAUAUGCUAGGUCCCAACAUCAUAUUUCAUCUCUUUUCAUUAAAUUGGUGUUUACUUUCCUUAUUAUCUUUUUGUCUAUCUUACUCUAAAUUUCAUAUUUAUAAUUUUUUAUCUCUUUCUUUUCAUUACUUAAUAAUUGGGUUUGUAUCACUUAAAGUAGAACCAAAAUUCUUGUUAACAUGUUUGAAAAAAAUCAUAAACAAUAAAAAUCGUGUGAAAAAUGAGUGUUACAUGUAAAUGAAAAAAAUAAUCUAAUAUUAAAUUUUUCUAUUUUUCAGUUGCUCAUUAGAUUUAUUUUUUUUAUAAUUUUCAGUGUGUUUAUAAUCCAUUUUGACUUGAAUUUUUUUAUGUAUGUGGAUCUAAUGAAAUAAAUUUCACAUCUUAAAUUAAUAAAAUAUGAUUCAAAACCGUGUUCCAAAAUUGACAAUAAUUAUUAUUAUAUAUGAUAAAAUUAUUGAGAUUAUCACUUUAAAAUACCUGUAUAAUUUCUAAUUAGUUCACAAUGUAAAAUUUUUAAGCUAACAAUACAUACAUGAAAAUUAAAUUUAUAUUACAAAUGUAUUUAAUAUUAUAUUAUGUGGAAUAUUUAAUUCUUAAUUUGUUUGGAUUAAAUGGAAGUAAAUAACGUAGCGGGUAAAACGAUUUCACGCUCAUACGAAUAUAUGUGAUUUUUUUUUACAGCAAAUUUAUGUGAUUGUUAGUGAUCUUUGUUUUAAGACAUAUUGUAACCCCUCCUUCUCUAAUUUUUUAAAACAAACUAUAUUUUUUUAAUAAGAAAAUGAUAUGAAUUUAGAAUUUAUUAAUGUAAUUAUAUAUUUGGGAUAACAAUAUAAUUAUAUAUAAUGAUAUACGUUAAGCUUUGUUUAUUUUUAAUUUCUCUUAAAUGUUUUUUCAAAUUCAUGACUGAAAAUAAGUGUUAUUGGUUGAUUAGUUUUUUUAGGAAAGUUGAUUAGAUAUCUACUUUGGUUUAGUUAAAAAAAAUUGAAGAAAAUAAUUUUUAAAAUAUUUAAUCUUUCCCAAGUAUCUACUUAAUUUACUGUAUUUGAUUCAGUAGGUUUACAUAGUGAAUGCCAAUCCGGAAUGAUGUUGCUCAAUUGUCGAUGUGAGGGUUGCCCCACAAGUGAAGCGUAGCCACGUCUUAGUUAUUUCGUGCACAUUUUUUUUAACUAGCUAAAUCCCUUUAUAUUCCAUACUUCACAUUUGGUACCUCAUAAUUUUAAAUUUUAGUUAUUUACUUAUUUAUUAGUAAGUCUAUUGUAAACUUUUUAACAAAACUUACGGAUGUGAUAUGCUAAUUAUAACGUGACAUUGAUAAAUGACAUAUGUUAUGCAUAUGUUAACAUAUUAUUAAUAGUAUGACGAGAUACUAAUAUCUUGAUAUAGCAAACACAUUAGUUAUGUAUUGAAUUAUCACGUUAUCUAUUAGUAUGUUAGUGUUAUGUCAUUAGUAAUAUAUUACACAUAAAAUUUGUAACUUUUUAUCCAACUAUAAAUUAAUAUAUAAAAUUUCACCAAAUGAGUUAAAUAAAUUUACAAAUUAUAUAUUUAGUAAGUUAAAAAUAAAUAAUAAGUUAGUGAUGAUAAUUUGUAAAUAUUUUUCUGUAACUUGACAUUAUAUUAUUUAUAUUGAAAAAAUUGUUAGUUAAAUAAUAAUAAUAGAAAUAAAAAAAACACAUGUCUUGAAGUGUGUAAUAACAUUAUUGUAUAGACAUAAUUAAAACGAUAAAGUCGAAAAAUUAUUAAAAAUAAAUGUGAUUACAUCUUAAUUAUAAGUAAGUGUAAUGAAAAAAUAUAAUAAAUGACACUUUAAUUAUAAGUAAAGUGAAUGUUAUACUAUAAUAAGAAAAAGCUUGUUAAUUGCAAUUUGCAAAUACAUCCCCUGUGUGGUGGUUGCGCAAAGAUGCGUAAUCCCCUUAAAAGCUACCGCUUUAUACUGAGUCAGGCUGAUACAAAAGAAAAUAGUUGAGCUGCGGUGGGGACAAACUUUAGGUAAUAGGUCACGCUUCAGCCAUUUCAAUUUUCAAGUCAUGAAGAAACCAUGCUGUUUUCCUUUCUUCUCCUGUUCUUCUUUUUCUUCCCUGUUUAAACAAUUGGAAUAAUCUCAACAAAUUAUAAUCAAACUUCUAACCUUGCAAGAGCCCAUUUUCCGUCACACGGUUUUCGCAUUCCUAAUGCCACAAUUAAUUUUAUGUUCACACGAAAAGGAACCAUAUUCUCCCCGAGAAUUAAUUUCAACUAUAAUUUAAGUAUUUAAACUAGAGGCGUCACAAUUUACACAAAUCCCUCUUCAUUAACUGUUUGGAAUUGGCUCUUCCAAGACAAUAAAGCAAACACGAAAGUUCAAUCUCCUAAAAAAAGGUACUAUAUUAUUCUUAAAUUAUGGUAACAUAAUGACCCAACCCAGAACAAUUAAUUAAUAACAAAAAUAUUGUUCUCAUUUGGAUUAUAUAUAAAUUAGUAACACAACCCUGACCCUGCCUUUUAGUUUUCGUAACAAACAAUGAAACAAGCACAUAAUUUACACGAUCAUAAUAUUCCAAAUACAAUAUUUUACUUAGUGACCAAAGAUAUGAGAUAAUCAUAGAGCACUGAACACUAGCAGGUGUUGGACUGACACUAGCAGUAACAGUAGCAGACAUGCUUACACCGAUAGCACGUUGGCUUUGCAUAAACCCUCCUGGGAGUUCCAAUCAGUGACAGCAAAAGCAAGAUGAGUAGUACUAGUAUUGGUGUGAUCAAAGCUGACCAAUUCGUCUUCUUUUCUUCAACUACCACCACUUGUUCACGCGUAAAGAGCCAAGGUAUGCCAAGAAGCAUCAAGGCCACCGCCAACAUCACAAUAACAUCUGAUGUAUGAGUACUAUAAUUGCGUUUAUAGCAAUAGUAACCCAUCCUCAGAAAUCUGGAAAUGAUUAAUUAUAGAGAUUCACAGUGAUCAAGUGGAUCCAAGCAUAUAAUAGCAAGGAAAAGCCUUGCCUCUAUGGAACUUUAUAGAACAAACCACUCAUCACAUCUAAGAUUAAUAUCCACCUCACAACAUUAGAUAUAUAGUUGCCUAGUUGCUCUCACAACUUUUUUCUAGUAAGCCAUCACAUUCGGCAAUAAUGCUUAAAACAGGCACCAUGACGUGGGGUCAACUAUAUGGUAUAUGUGGCAUGUGCGUAAGAUGGUGAUAUGAAAUAACUUUUGGAAAUUGGACUUGUUAUAGGGGCAAAUCAUUUCAUCAUGAAAACGAAUUCAAUUUUUUAUUUUGCUUUAUAGCGCACUAUAAACUAUUUUUGUUGCACAUCACUGUAAUGUGAUCCUUAUCAUACUCUUUAUCUUGUAGGUAGGUAGGUAUUGGGACUGUAGUCUGCAAUAUAUAGUUUUACCUAUAAACGCAAAUAUUUUUCUAACCUGUAGUUCUUAUAUGUAGCAUUUAAAAACUUAUUUGAUCAUCCACAAUUAAACAGAAACAAGGAAACAAGGAAACUAACCCUUGUCAUUUUUUACAACCACCAAAAGGGUUCAGUCUCUAAUCCAUUGCCCUACGUAUCUCUAUUACCUUUUGACUCGUAGAAUUUGUUUUUUGUCAAGUUUGCAAAAGUCUAAUAUCACAUCGACACAUUAUAUUGGCAAAUUAAGCAACAAAAAAAUAUCUGUGAACACCGGGUUUUUAUUACUCCACAGUGAAAAAAUGUCAGGGUGAAGGUUGUAAGCUUGGAGUUAAACGUGAAUAUAGAUAUUUUUUUUAUGAACAAAUAUUAGUUGUUAAUAUUGUUAGUUUUUAUUAGUGAAAAUUUGAAUUCACAAUUUUUUUUUCUUCUUAGACCAAUCUUAUAUUAAGUGGAUAUAAGUAUCCUAACUUUUUGAGAUGGAGAAAAAGAAAAGGGACAAUCUGUUGUGUGAUUGGAAAGUAUAACAUUGCUACUUCUGAUGCCGCUACUUUUGGGAUCCAUAUCCUGAAUAAACCUAUAUCAUAUAUAAACAGAGAAAUUAAACUGCGCAGUGAUCUUUUGCUGUUUUUUGAAUCUGCUCUAUAAUUAUAAAAAACAACUGGAUAAGCAGAAGGAAAUAAAAAGGAUGUCAUACAAGCGAAAUACUGUUAAAUUAAGGACAAAAUAACCUUAUUGCGGAGCCAAAUAGUUUUUUUUUUUUAUUAGGUAUGCACAUCAGUUUCAAAAAAGUUUCAAAUAUACUUGUUCAAUUUUAGACAAAUAAACAGUCCAUUCCCGAUGUGUUCCACAAAAGGAAAUAUCAUGGUCCUAUCAGUCAGAUUUAUAGGAUAAAAAAUGUCUUGAAAUAGGCAGAGGUAUCAGGUAUGAGGUAUGUAAGUAUAUAAAAGAUUACCCGACUAAUAGCAUGCUUGGUUAUGCGUGAGUUUUAGAAAAAUCGAUUCUAUUUUCGUGGUGAAGCAAGUUACAAGUAAUUACUUCAAAAAAUUUCAUUGUCAUGCCACCAUUUUGAACUUUAUAAUCGAUUCUCAAUGAUAACCAAACACACACUAAAAAUGAUUUGAAGUUUAAUCUUCUUGAAAAAAAAAUUAUAUUAAUUUUUAUUAGUACGAGGAAUUAAGGCAGUUACCUUUUUUUUUUUCUCUUAAUAAUUCCACUCACUUUAUAUUUUUAUUCUCUUGAAAUCCUUCUACUGUACUUACUAAAAAUUCACGUUAGCAGAAAUGACUGUUCGAAAAGUGGCUUUCAGAGUACAAGGUGUACAAAUAUUUUCAACAAGAAUGGCCAUAAAACCUUAAACUAAUACACUCCUUUUCAAUUUUUAUAAUAACAAAAUUACUCCGUGGUAAUCGAUACUCACAACAGUGUCCGAUAAGCUAAUCAUAAAGCAAUGUCUGAGAAGAUACUUUUUUUUUUCCUGGAGAAUGUGAAGAUAUAUUGAUCAAAGUCAAAAAUUUACUUUUUUAAAAAAAAAAUUAACGUUGGGUCUUGUGUAAACAUAUAUUAUGCAGCAAUCUACACUUUGUCCCUCAGCCCAGGUACAUAUUUCCUUUUUCUUGUGCGAACCGCAAUUGUAAGUAAUCAAACUUUAAAAGUUACAUGUUCAAUAAUUUUUUAAAAGUAUUUCCAUACCGAGGCUAAUUGAGGUCUCUCUUGUCCUCUCCCUCUUUUGUUUGAUAACCAAAAAUAAUACUUAUGAAUGUAAAGAUCGAUAUGCGUUUUUGUAUUCAACUUAAGAAUAUGUUUCUAUUCUACUAUGAUUUUGCUGGAAAUGAACAGUGGACAAAAUGACAUUUUCCACAAAGUUGCAUCAGUGCCAUAAGUGUUCGAUUCACCGGCAUAUGAAUUGUGCAGGGUACUAAAUAUCACAACAAACUUGAGCUUUAUUCGGAAUCAAUUUCUUGAGGGAAGUAUUCGACAACUUGGAACUGGUGUUUGGCCCAAGAGUUAGGAUGUUCAAAUAUAAGUAGAUCUAAAAUAAAAAUCAAAAACUGCAAAAGAAAAGAAAAAUGAAUCAAACCGAUUUAUUUGGAUGCUUUUUUUAACCUAGUUAGUAUGGAUCGAUUUAUGAUUUGUGUUUUGAAAUCAAAUCAAUCAAAUUAUAAUAAUUAUGUUAACACUUAUAUUAUUUUAGUGUUAUAUAGUUUAUGUGUAUAUCACUUUAAGUUUUACAGUAUUAUAAUAUUAUAUUUUUUUUUUAUCAAUAUAGUGUUAUGUGGUAUUAUGUAAAUAAAUUUAUAUAAAGUAUAUCCUCUUCUUUUUAAAAUAACUUUUUUAAGAUGUGUUUGAUUUAAAAUUAAUGAAAAUUGAUAAAUUUUUAUUAUAAAAGGUUUAACAUAUUAAUAAAUUUCUUAUAUUGUUACUAAUAAUUUUUUUAAUGAGUUUAAUUUAAAAGUUGAAAAGAAAGUAUGUAGAUAUUAAUAAAAUAAUAUUUUAGUAAAAAUUACAAAAAUCGAACGAAUUAAAUCAUAAAAUAUUAAUUUAGUUUAGUUUGAAUUUUAUUUUAAAAUUAAAACUAAAAUAAAUUAAACAGCAUAUUUUUUUAAUUUUAGUUUGGAUAAUUUUUUGAUCAAAAUGGAACCACGAACACACAGAGUGAAACGAGGAUCUUUUUGUUUCCUUACUCGUAUGGACCCGUUUAGUAUAAGUGGACUGGACUGGGCCACACAGCAGGACAACAAAGGAUAUGUAUAUUAUAAGAGAUGGAAUACAUUGGGCAGGUCAAUUUCUACAUGGGAAUUGCCUUUUUUAUUAUCUUUCUUUAUUACAUCACUAUUCAGACUUCGAUUUUUUUUAUCUUAUAUUCUAAAAAUAUAAUGUAUAAUAAAACGUCUAAAUCUCUAAAACUAUUUAUAAUAAAUUUUGAAAUUAUAAUUAUUAAAUUAAUUAACAAAAAAUUUUGAAAUUAAAUUUCCAGAACACAUUCAAAAUGUUUUUUAUGCCUUUUAAAAAAAAAGAGUAGUGAUUAUAUACCACAAAGUUUUGUUGAUGCCCAAUAUUUAUGAAUAAUAAUUUUAGUUAAAUUUCGAUAUUGAAAAUUUAUUUUUUUAGUAAUUUUAUUAAAAAAUAAUUUUAUUCUAGUAAAAGUUUUGUUUGGUUCAGCGGAAAUGAAGAAAAACAGCUAGCCUAGGCUAUCCUUGAGAAGGAGAGACUCUAGGGGAGGGGAAGGAAGAUCCAAAAUGAUUUAACUUCUAUUGAAUAUUUAAAAUUUUAAAAUUUUAAAAUUUAUCUUGUCAUAAAUAUAUUAUAUAAGAUUUAUAUUCGAUGUAUUAUCGUUAAUAUACUUAUUAAACUUUGACAUAUAAAAUAUUUUUUAUUAAUUAUACAUUCAAAAAUUUAAUUAAAUAAAUACUAUUAAAAUAUUUCUCAUUAAAGUUUAUAACAAUGAGAUUAAACGUAUUAAAAUUUAUAUAAAUUAUUUAAGAAAUAUUAUGAUUAUUUUUAAAAACAAUCAUCACACAUGUAUACAGUUUUUAGAAUUUUAUUAUUUAGCUUAAUAAAAAUACAGAAAGUAUUGUUAAAAGUUUAGAAAAAAAACAUAUUUAAUUUAUAUAUACAAUGAAAAAUAUUAAUAUUUUUACGUAAAUACUUAUUUUAAUGUAAGAUAAACAUCUUAAUAAACUUUUAGCCUGUCCUUUUAACAAUUUUUUUUAUAGUGAAGGAAAAUAAAGACAACAAAGAAACUAGGUUCUAACAAAAUGGAUGCCUAGAGCAUAGUAAACCGCUAAGAAUAGAGCUGAAUAAAUAUAUACUACUGUUAUACAAAUAAACAACCAAUCAUUGAUAAUUAUAUUCAUAUUUAAAUAAAUAUAGCCUAUAAAAUUUCGUAAUUGUAUACGAAUUUUAAUUAUAAUAGAAAAAUAUUUUAAAACAAUGUGUAAUAUAUUUGCUGAAUGAAAUUCAAAAUAGGUUAAAUAGUCAUUUUUGUUCCCUAAUGUGAUUCGUUAACAAAUCCGUUCUUAAAGAUAAAAAUAUAAAAUUUAGUCCCCGAAAAUGUAAAAAGUACAACAAAUAUAUCCGACCGUUAACUUCCAUUUGUCACCGUUAAUAAAAUGACCUACGUGGGAUAGAGAGACAAAUUUGUCACUAAGAUGAUUGCCAACGUGAUCAUAUCGAAUUGUCAACACAUAGACAUAUUUAUCAUAUAAUAUUUUUUUGACUUUUUAUCUUCCUAAUUGCUGAAAAGUCCCUAAGAGAUGAAAAUACAAAAUUUAGUCCCCGAAAGUAUCAAAAGUGUGACAAAUAUAUCCGGAUGUGGACGUUAAUAGUAGAUUAUGACUAAUUAUUAUAAUUUGAAAUAAUUUAUACUGAUUGUGACAAAUUUUUUUCAACAAACUCAUAAAUUAAAUUGAGUCUAAAAGAAAAAAGAAUACUAAUUUUAUUAACUGGUAUAUAACUUUUUUAUACUCUUAUGCUUAAUGAAAGGUUUAAGUAAAAAAAAUGUUUAUUAUAAAGCAUUAUAGUUAAAUUAGAUUUAUGAAUAAUUUUUAGAAAAAAUUGCAACUGCAAUGACACUUUUAAUUUGUAAAAAACACUCACUCCUUAGAAAUGAUUUUUUAAAUGACGGGUCAAUAAAAAAUAAUUUUGUAUGAAUAAUUUUGUAUGACAUAAAAAAUUAAUUUAAAAAUCAAGAAACUUUUUAUUAUAAUUUGUAAUUUGAUGUCGUUGCAUAUACUUAUAAACAUUCAUAUUUUAUUAUGAAAAAUUUAUGGAAAAAAAUAAUUAAAUAAAUAGUGUUUGAUUAAACACAAAUAAUGAUUUCUUAUCGUUUUAUAAUAAAUUUUUUUUGUGUUGAUAACAUUUAUUUAAGAGUUAACAACCAAAGUAUUGGUUUUUUUUUUGUAGUUAAAGAAAAGUAAGAAGAAUUCGUCAAAGUAAUAAAAAAUCACUUACAUUGAUAAUAUUUUGUUGCAAUCAUUAUAAAUUUUUUAAAAUUAUAAUAAUUAGUCACAAUCUACUAUUAACGUUUAGAUAUAUUUAUCGCACUUUUUACACUUUCGGAGACUAAAUUUUAUAUUUUUAUCUAUCAUGAUGUUUUAUUAGUGAAGUGAAAGACAAAAAGUCAAAAAAUAUUAUAUGACAAAUAUGUCCCUAUGCUGGCAAUUAGAGAUGACCACCUUAACCAUCCUUUAAGUGACAAAUUAAUUCCUCUAUGUCACAUCACAUGAGUUAUUUUAUUAACGGUGGCGGACGAAAGUUAAUGACUAUAUAUAUUUAUCGCAUUUUUUAUACUUUUUGAGAUUAAAUUUUGUAUUUUCAUUUUCCAGGGAUAUAUUUAUGAGCGAAUUACAGAGUUCGAAAAAGUGACUAUUUACCCUUCAAAAUAUGUAUCUUGUAAAUAUCGAAGCAGUGUGAGAAUAAAAAUGAAAAAUAAAAGACAAUGUGAAUUUUGAAAUUGUCACUUUGUGGCUGAGUGAGGGUCAUGGUGAUGGUAGAGUGAAUGAGCAACAUUUAAGAUCACACGUAGCACCACAACAUCAGCCCCUCCGUAAGUCAUGCAUAAUAGUCAUACAAAUCCGUUCUUUCGUUGUUUCCUUCACAGAUCACAAAUCACAAUCACAACACACAGGGAAAGGAAGAAGGACAUUUUUGUUUCACGUGCUUUAACUUCUCUUUCUCUACAACUUUAAAGUACUGUAAACCAACUUCAUUUCUACGCAAUUUAAAAUGAUUAUCUCAUUUGACCCAUUGAGCCCUCUUUGUCAUGCAUCAUGUUUAAUUUCGUGUUUGUGUUCCUACACUAUACAUUGUGGAGCUUGCAUGAUGCCUAAAUGUAAAAGAUCUUGAAAGUUUUCUGAUCCUUAGUUAAUUUGUGGCAACGUGCAAGUGGUUUUCUGAUCACAUUGUACAACCAUGGAGAUUUUAAUUACAAUGUUGUUUCUUCUGCAUAUCUAUAUUCCCUUACGAAAUUAUAUAUAUUUCUUGGCUUUCAUGAUCUCCAGUUACCUCCUUUCUUUCUUUUUCUUUUGUGGUUAUCUUCUCUUGUUUGCUCAAUGCUUAUAAUCGUAUAUGAGACUUUCACUUUAGGAUCUGGGUGAAUUUUGGCCAGCUAGUUAAUUAAGAAGUAACCCUUUUUUAGAAUUUAUUGAAAAACAAUAGUGAGAAAAAUAACGUUGUGCCUUUGAUAGGGAUCUUAAAUUGGAAAGUUGGGACUACAUAGUUAAAACCACUUGAUUUUUUUUCUUCUGUUCCGUAACGACCAACCACUUGAACUAAAUAGUGUGAUGUUAUUUUCAAAAUUAAUCACUUGGUUCGUGUUUAUAGUCUUCAUGUGGUAUCCAAAAGUAUAUCUCAACUCAAUCGUUUUGAAUUUCGGAUUAAAAGAACGAUGCAUUAGUUUGGAAAUAUAUGCUUUUAGGCUCAUGGAGUGUUAGCAGCAAGGAAUAGGAGUUUGUGGGGGUGGUUUAUAUCUAUGUUAAUUUUAUGUCAAUAAACUUUACUGUGCAGGAUUUUGAGCAAGACAAUUGCAAGUGCUAAUAUUUUGGAAGAUGUCUUCGUUUCCGAUAGAUAGAUCCCAUAAUGGGAGUCUUAAGUGUCUAGAGGCACUAAGUAGUGUAUCAGAAAAGGAGGAAUUUGAUUUCUCAAAAGCAUUAGAUAGGCCUAGGGCUCUGAAUAUAGAGAGACAGAGAUCAUUUGAUGAAAGAUCAAUGAAUGAACUAUCCUUAGGCUUUUCUCCACGUCAAUUGGCCACAAAAGUUGAUAGUUCAUCUCGCCUGGGAGAUCUUCUUGAUCAUGUACAUUCUCCUAGGCCAAAGUCAGAUAUUAAUACUCCGGGAUCAGUGACAUUGGAUCCACAUCCAUUAACAUCAGAAGCUUGGGAAGAGCUGAGGCGUUCCUUGGUAUAUUUCCGUGGUCAGCCAGUUGGUACAAUUGCUGCUUUGGAUAAUUCUGAUGAGAAACUUAAUUAUGAUCAGGUAGCAUGAUCUUGGAUAUGUAUCUGUUUCUUCUAUGUUGUCUUUUUUUUUUGUGUGUGUGUAUGUCAGUGGGGGGAGGAAUUGGCACAAUUUCAUCACAAUACUUGGAUUUUGGUUACACUUCUAGACCAUGUUAACUAUUAUGGAUCUACACUCAUGGUUCAAGUGACAUAAAAUCCACUGUCCGGAUAAGCAUGCUAUAUUACAACUUAAUCUUUUAGUUUCAUUGUUUUAGUUUUUACUUGUCAUGCUGGAUCAGUGGCUUUGAUCAUUAUCUCUUUCCUUGUCUCCCCAUUUUUGAUUUUGCUAUGAGAUCUAAUCUAAGGUAUUUUUACAUUUGUGUAUAGGUGUUUAUAAGAGACUUUGUCCCAAGUGCUUUGGCUUUUCUGAUGCAUGGGGAAACGGACAUUGUUAAAAAUUUUCUUUUAAAGACCCUUCGCCUUCAAUCAUGGGAGAAAAAGAUUGACAGGUUCCAACUAGCAGAAGGGGUGAUGCCUGCUAGUUUUAAAGUAUUCCAUGACCCAGUUAGAAAUCAUGAGACCCUGAUAGCAGAUUUUGGUGAAAGUGCAAUAGGCAGGGUUGCUCCUGUUGAUUCUGGAUUUUGGUGGAUUAUACUGCUUCGCGCAUACACAAAGGCUACAGGAGACUCUUCUUUGGCUGAACGGCCUGAAUGUCAAAAGGGUAUGCGCUUGAUCUUGAGUUUAUGCCUGUCAGAGGGGUUUGACACGUUUCCAACUUUACUAUGUGCUGAUGGAUGCUGCAUGAUUGAUCGAAGAAUGGUGAGUUUUAUGAAAUUUAUGAUUGUCUACUGUCUUGAAACUAGGCAUUGAUGAUUCAUGAACUAUUAGGGGAUUUACAAUGACUUUUGUUGCUGUGGUUAAUUUAUCCAUUUCUUUCUUUCAACUUUGUAUUAUGACUUCAGGGUGUUUAUGGGUAUCCAAUUGAGAUUCAAGCAUUGUUCUUCAUGGCUUUAAGAUGUGCCUUGCAAUUGCUUAAGCAAGACAUGGAAGGGAAAGAGUUUGUGGAGCGAAUUGUGAAACGGUUGCAUGCCUUAAGCUAUCAUAUGAGGAGCUACUUUUGGUUGGAUUUGAAGCAGCUUAAUGAUGUAUACCGCUUCAAAACAGAAGAGUACUCGCAUACUGCAGUGAACAAGUUCAAUGUUAUUCCUGAUUCAUUACCAGAUUGGAUAUUUGAUUUCAUGCCUCAUCAUGGUGGAUACUUUGUUGGGAAUGUGAGCCCGGCUAGGAUGGAUUUCAGGUGGUUUUGCUUGGGCAAUUGCAUUGCAAUUUUGUCGUGCAUGGCAACUCCUGAGCAGUCAAUUGCAAUCAUGGAUCUCAUUGAAUCACGCUGGGAGGAAUUAAUUGGAGAGAUGCCUGUCAAAGUUUGUUAUCCAGCAAUUGAAAACCAUGAAUGGAGGCUCGUAACAGGAUGUGACCCUAAAAAUACUAGAUGGAGUUACCACAACGGGGGAUCCUGGCCAGGUAAUUCUUAAUUACUAAUUUCUACGUCACAUGUAAUUCAGUUUCUCAAUUCACAAGAAAAAGUUAAUAAACCUCAUUAACUGAAAUCACUUACUAGGACCAUGGACAUGUGGUGGUGCGAAUCAUAUGACAGCUUUCCCCUUAUUAGGGUAUGAUAUGAUCGCAGAGCUAGACACAAGAUAACGAUCAUUAAUUAUAUUGUCCUUCUCUUGCAUGUAUGUAUCCUAGUGUCCAACAUCAUAUCCUUUUACUUAAGAACAGGAGAGGACUAAAUCUACAUUAUAUAUAAAAGGAACUGUAACAUUUUUGUUAAGUGAACUCUAAUUUUUUUAUCAUUGUGAAAUUUGAGUAGCUCAUUUAGUAGGAGCUAGCUGACACACUUUCAAUUGAGAUGCUAGUAAUCACAUAAUUUAGAUACAAUUAUUUGUGAUGGUUACAGUUCUUUUAUGGCUUCUGGCUGCGGCAUCGAUCAAGACUGGGAGGCCCCAAAUUGCAAGGCGUGCCCUUAACAUUGCUGAGAGCAAAUUGCUGAAGGACAACUGGCCCGAAUACUAUGAUGGAACGACGGGCCGAUAUGUUGGGAAGCAGGCCCGUAAGUUCCAGACCUGGUCCAUUGCUGGUUACUUGUCCGCUAGGAUGAUGCUCGAUGAUCCAUCCCAUUUAGGUCUUGUUGCUCUCGAAGAAGACAAACACCUCAAGCCUUUGCUCAAGAGAUCAAUUUCGUGGACUUUAUGAGUCACUUUAUUCUUUCAUUCAUCCAUUUUGAACUUGUGGCAAUGAUAGAAAAGAGUUUUCUCAUGAAAAGAAUAUACUAUGGUAAUUCAACUUUUUAGUUUUCAAAUUAAACAUUUCUAUUUAAGAAAACCAACAUCUUUUACAAGAAAGAUUAAUUAAUGUAUGGCAAGGAAAACAUUAUUAAUCUCUCACAAGGAGAUUAUAAACAUGUUUCUUAUAAAACAUUUUGAAAUAAAUUAUUUAUUAUAUUGAAAAAAUAAGUGUUUUUCUGCAUAAAAAAAAUAUUAUUGUGAAAUUGACUUAAACAAACAAUAUAAGUCAAUUUGACAUCAUAUUUCAAUCUAAAAUCUUAAGGCUUAAAUUUAUGAGUUUUAUCGUCAUUUGUAUGAUAAUCAAAUUUCUCAUUCUUAUCCGAUAUAGGAUUUCACUUCACAUUUGUAUUCCAACAAUUCUUCUCAAGUGUGAGUUUCUUCUACAUAAUAGUCUCUCCCUCACAUGUAAGAUAUUCUAUAUUAUAAUCUUUCCCUCAAGCAAAAAUUAUUUUUAAUUCAUGAAUAUCUAAUAAUGACAUUUAGAAUUUAAUCAUAAUUACCUUGACUUGUUUAAUCCUUACUACCAAACAUGUUCUAGUACUCCAACAAAUACUCACACCUCAUAAAAUGUUUUUUUUAUAACAUAAAAGGAUAUCUUGAUGUAAACUACAACUCCAACAAAUACUCACACAUCAGAAAAUGUUUUUUUUUAUAACAUAAAAGGCUAAAAGGAUAUCUUGAUGUAAACUACAACGUAAAAUAUAAUUAUAUAUAUAAAUUUAUGAUAAUUAUGGGAAUUCAAUUGGCAAAAGUAAUUUCUUAUCAAUCUUUAUUAACCAAUCAUAUCAAAAGACAUAAACCAAUAAAAAUUGAACAAAUUAUCAAGUAACAAUAUAUAUGAGUUAACAUACCUUCACCAUAAAUAGGAACAUAAUUUAUUUAUUACAAUGUUUUAUAUUAAAAAACAUACAUAUUACUUAUGAACAUAAAUUAAUUGUCAAAACAGGUAAUUAAAGAUGAGAUCAAUAACAAAUAUAUAAGGGUGUUUGUUUCAAGUUAUUCAAUUUCAUAUGCGCGAAUAACAUGAGUAUUUUAAAGACUCAAAAUCAAGUGUAAAUAAAAAGCUCAAAAUAAAUUACUUGAAAUUUUGAAUUGUUAUUUGUAAAUCUAACGAGAAUUUGAGAUAGAUUUGAUUAGGAUUUGUUUUAAUUUGAUUUUAUAAUUAUUUCCUCUAUUAGAAUGUGGAUCUUAUCAUUUGCUAGGAUUUACUAUUACUAUGAUUUACUACCAUAUAUGUUUCUCUCUAAAUAGGAAACUUGGUGAUUUAAAAGCAUCAAAUUGAAUUUGAAUGAGAUAUGAAUUUUAUAUAAAUAUGAUAUUAUUUUUUUACAUGAGUUAUUAUUAUUAUUUAGUACAUAUUAAACACUAGAUAAUAUAAAAAAUUAUCACAUUUUUUAUUUUAUUCUCUUAUCCAACUUUUAUAUCUUAUUUAUUUUAUCCAUAUAUCAGUAUUUUUUUUUGAAACGUACUAAAAACAUCCAAUACAGAAAAUUAAUAUUUUAAAUGAUUAAGAUAAGAUCAAUAUUAUUAUUAUUAUUAUAAUAUUUGGUAUCGUGAAAAGUGCGUGAAUAUUGAACGACACUGAGGUUGGCAGUUUGGUUUGGGUGGGGUAUUGCAGCGAGUCAGCGAGUCAAGUUGACGUUGACAUUGACGUUGGAGUCGAGUUGUGCCCUAAUUGGCUAAUUCAGAAAGAAUUGAAUUCGGGGAAGAGAUUCACAAUUCUCAUCUCAUUGAUUGCUUACCAUCAAUUAGGAUUAGGAAGGAACGCAAAAUCAUCAAAUCAAAUAAAAGAAUUAAUCAUGAGGAGUGGGAAAAAGUCUAUUCACGCGAUCACGACAUGGGUGCGGCGGCAGCCCCCAAAGGUGAAGGCUUUUCUCGCCGUCGUUUCCGGCAUGGCGGCUCUCGUCCUUCUCCGCUUCAUCGUUCACGAUCACGACAACCUUUUCGUCGCCGCCGAGGCUGUUCACUCUCUUGGAAUUUCUGUUCUCAUCUACAAGCUCAUCAAAGAAAAAACUUGUGCCGGUUCGCUCACUUAUCCCCUUCCCUUUUCACUUUCUUUCUUUCUUUCUAUCAGUUACUUGUCAAUUUCUUUUAUAUGUCUGCAAUUUCCUUAUAAUAAAUUUGGAUUGCUUUGUUCUUAUCCGUUAAUAUUUAAUUUAAUGUGACCUGCCUUGAACAUCAAGAAAUUGUUUGUUUCAGAACGUUUCCAUUGAAUGAUUAAUGACAUUGUUUGGCUGCUUUUAUUCCUUUUGUUAUUGAAUGAGAAGAAGAAACAACAUUUUGUUGCUUUAUUUUGCUAUUCUAGCUUUGUUCAUGUCUUGUCAUGAGGAUGCUUCCCUGUUUCACGCCUUUUAUCGCUACUGUUUGUGAUGUACAGGAUUAUCGCUCAAAUCCCAGGAAUUGACAGCUAUAUUUUUAGCUGUUAGGCUGUACUGCAGUUUUGUCAUGGAAUAUGAUAUACACACCCUGCUUGAUUUGGCUACUUUUGCCACGACACUGUGGGUUAUAUACAUGAUUCGUUUUAAAUUGAAGUCUAGUUACAUGGAGGAGAAAGACAACUUUGCUAUAUACUAUGUGGUAGGCUCCCCCACUAUCCUUUCAUUUCAAAAUUAUAAGCUCAUUCUAUGUUCUUUUCAUUUUACUCAACUUCAAAGGUUAUAUAUACUUGUGCGUUUAUCUGCUCUAUUUUUUAAAAUUGAAUGCAGGUGAUACCAUGUGCUGUGUUAGCCUUGUUUAUUCAUCCAUCAACUUCACAUCAUUUAUUGAACAGGAUUUCCUGGGCAUUCUGUGUAUAUCUCGAAGCUGUGUCAGUACUGCCCCAACUGCGAGUCAUGCAGAACACCCAAGUAUAUAAGAAUAUCCAUCAUGCAUGUUAUUUAUGUUAUCCAAUUCUACACUUUUCCUUCUUAAUUUCAUUUUAUUUUAUGCUUUCAGAUUGUUGAGCCAUUCACAGCUCAUUAUGUAUUUGCCCUGGGUGUGGCAAGAUUCUUGAGCUGUGCUCAUUGGGUUCUUCAGGUAUGAUCUGUUCGUCCAAACUUGUGAUUGCAUUCAUCAGCUCUAUGAACCAUUUUCAAAUUCGCUUGUCACUUGUUUUCUGGCUUGUGCUGCUGUCUGUUAUCACUAAGAUGGACAUUUUCUGGAUUGGCUAUCUAGUCAAUCAAGGAGUGGAAUGUGAAUAUAUUUAUAAUUUGUAAUUUCAAGUUUGGCUUAUUUCCAUUGGCAUAAUAAUCAGCUUUCUUCUAUAAGUAUUACAGGGACAUGUGUUUGGCCAGUGGGUUAUUAGUUUGCUGUUCUUAGCACAUUUUUUUAGUAGUGCAACUUAUUGGAUUUACUAAUUGCUGGUCUCCUACAGUCCUACUAACUUACCAUUUCUUUUAACAGGUGUUAGAUAGUCGUGGACAUUUGUUGGUUGCCUUGGGGUAUGGAUUAUGGCCGUCAAUGGUGCUUAUUUCUGAAAUUGUCCAGACUUUUAUCUUAGCAGAUUUCUGUUACUAUUAUGUCAAAAGGUUAGUUGAGUGCAUUAUAGCAACUCUUUCCUGUUUUGAACCUUCUUUCGUGGGCUGAUAAUGUCUCAAGAACUUUUCAGCAUGAUUCUGUUCCUUAUGAUAUUUAUUUUAUUGCAGUGUUUUCGGCGGACAGCUUGUUCUCCGCCUACCUUCUGGAGUGGUGUAAUAGAAGAUUCACUUCACUACAUACUUGCAUUUAAAUUAACUUAAUCAAGCAAUAUGGUCGGUUAUCAUUGUUGGAGUCCAUAUUGCAUUGAAAAAGUAUGGUUCCUUGGAAGAAUCUGGUUCUUUGUAAAGUUAGAGAUGAAGGGAAAACAAGAUAUUUAUGUUGAAGGUACAGUAUUUGUAGCUGGAAAUGCUUUACACAUAACAUGUCUAUUUGCUUAGGCUCUUGAAAUUCAGUUCUUGACAUAACUUUUCCAUGUUAUCGUAUUUUAACUGCUUGACUUGAGCCAAUGAGGGAAUCGUCAUAAAGUUGAUUUGAAGUAUCUGUUGAAGGUUUUCUUUAUCCGUAUCCAAAAUUAGCUGGAGAGUUUAAUGCCUCGUAUAAACAUGGUCCAUGGUAAUGAUGGAUUCGGGAUUUCGGGGACAGUAGUAACGAACAACAAGACCGGUUAGGUCCCUGCUACGAAUGUCUUCAAAAGCAAUCCUAACUCCAAAACCCAGUAAGUAUGUUUGGUUUUACGUUUCGGAUGCAAGGUUUUACAUUUUGAAUGUGAUUCCUUCUUUCUGAACAAGUCUCUUCUAUGCGAUUCAUAUUGAAGUCGCAGAGCUGCCCAAAACCUCCCAUGUCCUGGAACACAACACCGGGCUUAUUGACAACUAGCUACUUGAUAUCCCGUGUAUUUAUUAAAAUGUUUCUCAAUUUUGAUAUAAGUUUGGUAACGCUUAACGUUGGAGAAAUAAUCACGUAAUUUUUUUAAAAUUUCAAAAAUUAAUGAAAACAAGUGAUUAUUAAACAAAUUAAACAUGUAAGUAAUCAUUUUACAACAGGGAGGUAGGUUUUGCCUGUGAUAGGUAAGUAUUUACAAUUUAUUUUUUUAAAUGAUAUUGAGUUUGGUUAAAAAUAAUGUUAAGUAGAGUGAUUGAUGUUGGAAGGUUUUUAUUUUAUUUUUAUUUGUAAGAAUACCUAAGGAUUUGUUACUCACAUUUUUUCUCAACCAAUUGAACUAAAUCUCUCUCUUUUGGAUGAAUGUUUUCAUUUUAAAAGCAAAGUUAGUAAUAAAACUCGGUUUAUUUCUCAAUAUCAUUUUAAACCUAUAAUUAAUUUCUCAACGCGAAAUUAAAUAUUUAAAUAUUUAUCUGAAAUUAUGUUAGCUAAUAUUUCAAUAUUUUAAGUGAUCUAAUGUGAAUCUGAAGAACACUUAACGAGUGUUUUUAAGUAUCUCCUAACAUGGUCCUUGUUUUAACCGGGCAUUAUGAACAAGGGCACCAAGUACGAAGAUCACGUUUUUGUUGUGUGUGCAUGUGUAUUUUAAUUUUUAAGCCAUUUGAAACCCCUUCACCCCCCAUGUAUAUGCUUACAAAGUCAAGCAGGUUUGUGCUUGAGCUCAGUGUUAACACACUGUCCUUGUUUAAUGUCUGAAUUUCAUUAGCUUAUAUUCGUUUGUACAAGAAACGAGGCUAUUUGGUUUGCCUAAGGUCCGAACAAUAUUGACAGGCCAUAAAUUGCAACUGGCAGUACGAGGCAAAUUUAAAUUCCAAACAAACAGAAACAACCAUGAAUUAGGGGCCUUCCAUUAUUAAAAUCAACUUACUCAAUCAUUCCAUCAUCAUGGAAAAUUUCAGAGACAAAUAAUCAUCCAUAUGCUACAUGUGAUUCACUAAAGUAUGUCAUCGUACAUGUUUACAAUGAUUGCCACAAUCUUUGCCAGAUAACUUAUACAGCCUGCAGGGCCAGAACAGUACAAAAGAGAGAUGGGAGGUGGGGCUGCAAUAUCUUCAGUUUAUAAGUUUGUAUUUUUACUUAAAUCUCACAAAUUCCCAACCAAAUAAUGGUAGUAGUGUACAAUUGGAGCCCACCGUGUAACAUUGCAUACAAAAAAAAACUCUGGAAGGUGAAAUUGGGUUGUCAAAGUUCAGAUUCGCACUUUCCAUUAAUAAAAUUAAUAACUUGUUCAACUGCCAGAUCAAGUGCAGUAGUUACAGCUGCCAAAUUUUGCAGGAAUUCUUCUGCAGUUGGUUUGUCACCAUCAAUGAUAUCAGUCACAGCUUUUACAAAUAUUGCAGGAACUUUCAGAAGGUCAGAAACAUAAGCAAUAGCUGCUCCCUAGAGAAAAAAGUUGAAACGGGGAGUUAAGCCUAUAUUCAACAAAGGAAAGAUGACAACUAUUACUGAUUAUUCAGUACUGCGCAAUUUAAGUGGACAUUUAUUUGAUGGAACAAGGUAUUAUUAGAGAAUAUGUGAAUUCAUGCCAUUCCCCAUAGAUUAGCUGCAAAUAAUAAGUUCUAGAAAUUAACCCAAAUAAUCAGGUUACCUCCAUAUCUUUAACUGUGGCAUCAUUUGCAAUGAUUGACGAUUCAUCCUGCUGUGUCAUAUCUAAAGAGUCACCAGUAGACAAUUUACCCACCUAAAAUACGGACAAAUACGUAAUGAAAUAAAUCAAAGUAUAUUUUCAUGUGUUUGAACUACAAAUGAAACAUCUCCUUGUUUCUGAGUAGGAUCUUUAUCUUGUGAGAAAGUGAGUUACUAUUAUUAUUAUGAUCCAAGUUAAAGCGGGUUAUUCACUUGCAAGGUUAUCAAUGCCAAGCCAGCAAUACAUUUAUAACCUCCUCAUAAACCAAUAUAUAAGAAAAAAACUAUUCCAUUCAGUUCACUUAAUAGGGUAUGGGUAACUCCAAACUAUGCCAAGAUUGUAUUGCCUGGCCUCGAAAGAACACACAUAAAGGUAAUAAGUAAUAACAGUGAGAGAUAAAAUAUUAAUAACCGGAAAAAAGUAAAGGCCAACCACCUGAAAGCUUAACAAUUUUUCUUACAUUGUCAUAAAAUGUUUUCUCCAUUCAUCUAUAAUUUAUUGUUGAUAGUGUAUUAGUGUGUCAGGCUGACUGAUAGCCAAAGUAAAUUAAACAUGUAAAGCUCAAAGGCACAAACUUCAUAAAAUGCAUGGGAAGUUCUUGAAUCCAGGUAAUCUGGUUAACAAAAGGCACCUAAUUCUGAAUUUCCGCUGACAAGACAUUGUGAUAUUGAGGUAUUUGGGUUGGCAAUGUGAAUUUUGAAUGACUGUAAUGGAGUGUUUUGUUUUCAGGAGGAGCAUAUACAUUUUAGCAAAUAGCACUCACCUUUAGAUUAAGCUCCUUUACAAGGUUGGGUGCUACAAAGGCUUUACGUAAACCAACUCCAUACAGAUCAAAAACCUGCAAAAGACAUUACAAGUGUAUAUUGAUGUUGGUGGCAAAACUUCUACCUCACUAUAUUUAAGCAUGGAGGCUUAUUAAAAAGUUCGGUAGAUUCUUAACUGGGCCAAUUGAAAAAUUUAAAAGAAAGCCAACAUUAAUGAUUUGACAGGUCAACCACCUCACUCUUUCUGUCUUUUUUCUUUGAUGGUUAAAUGAGAAACUAGAGCAAUGUGGUAUCAGCUAUGUCAUGCUGAAAUUGUUAUAAUUCUUUUUCUUGGAUAAAAUAAUAUUAUUGGAAGGAAAGAAGAGACACAUAUAAAAAAAACAAAGUAUCCUACAGAGGUAGAACAAGCCCAAACUAGAGAAAUAACACCACACUUACAGGUAUGGGUAUUCUUCUGUCGUGAAAAGCACAAUCUGAUACAAUGAAAACAUCACCAAUACUAGCUCCUUUGGCCUGAAAGCAUCCAGUAAUGAAUACUACUUAGACAAAUAUGUUCAUGUACAUACAAAUCCAUUUAUUUGUGACUGCCCCGUAAUGUUUUUAGCUACAAACAUAAUCAUUAUAACAUUUAAUUCACUAUAAAGAGUUACUAUUUGAUACAUGCAUACCAAGGGUGGAAAGUAGAACAACUGCACAGGCAGGUAAAACAUAAUUUUGUCAUCAACAAAUCAGAUCACAAUAAUAUGGUCAAUCAAUCCACUUAAAGUAGUCAUACAUUUUAGUUCAAUCCAUUUCUUGAUUACAAAACAAGUUAUAUAUAAAAUUAUAAGACAUAAAAUCAAUGGCCAUUAUUGAUUACAAAUAAUGUUUUAGUUUAAUUGGUUUUGAUCACUUUUGUUGUAAGUUAAUUACAAAAACAUUUUUAGAAGAAUAUGAAAAGCAUUAUUUAACAUAGAUUACAGGGUCAAGAUUUUUUUCUUUGAAAUGUUUAUUCAAAACAGUUAUAUCAACUCCAACACCAGUGAUAUAAAAAAGGGAAACAUUGUAUCGGAUCAUUACAAUUCUAUUAUUGCAAAAGGAAUAGGACUACAAUUUCACAGGAAGGAGGACCAAUGCUAGCUAAACUAGGAAGAGAUCAACAAAUAACGCAACAUACAAACAGUUUGGAGUACAAAACUAGAAAACCAGCAACUCUAACUGUAUGGCUUGGGGGAAGACAGUGCCUACCUUGAAGCCACCAGCAGUGCCUGCAUUGAUGAUCAAGUCUGGUUGUAAUGCUUGAAUAGCAGCAUACGUUACAAGAGCAGAUGAUAUCGUGCCUACACUAUCAACCCCUGAAAGAAAUGGAUCAGGACUCAUCAAAUGAAAAAUAGCAGUGAAAACAAAAAUUACCACUCUAUUAUGUUCCUUGAAGAUGCGUAGUGGGGUGUUAUUAUAGUUAUGCUAACAGACAUCCGAACUACUGCCCAUGCAACACAAUCAGGAAACAUAGUCCAGGCUCGAUAAAAAUCGGCAGAAAUCCUGCUUUUAUGUUUGUUCCUAAAGGUUUGGAUUGGGAUAGCAUCAUAGCAACAUUCAUUAUUCCCAUCUCAUAACAUUUCUUCCAAACAAUAAAUACAUCAUAAACCUAAUUAAGAACGGUGACCCAUCGUAAUUUUGCCCUAUACUUGCUAAAAAUCAGAUAUGAAUUUAAAAAGUGAAAUAUAAGAAUGAAUUGAAAGAACAAGCAUCCUUACCCAAAGUUGGAUCUUUUCCCGGCCAAAUCAAGCUUAUAUUAAGAUCUUUGUAUGUCCCCUGAUAACGGACCCAAGGAACCCCUUGCGGAAACCUGCACCAUUGUGCAUGGACACCUUAAUCAAAGUAAGUGAAAAGUAAAAGUACACUUUAACUUUACUUCAACCACAACCCCCCCCAAAAUAAAAAAUAAAAAAAAACUAUUUCAAAAAAUUCUAAGAUUAUGCACAAGACUAAAAACUAAUUUGUAAAAGCAGCAUAGCAUAACAGAGCAUCCAUACAGUAUUUCAUUUCCACUGAGGUUAGUCGAAAAAUAAAAAGUGUGUGAGUGUGAUUAACUAAUUAGAGUAAGUGAUUUUAAAACCUAAUAAAAUGAAAACACACAGAGAGAGAGAGAGAGAGAGAGAGAGAGAGACGGACGGGGUGUCAGGGUCCUCAGUGAGCUGGAAUCUGUUAACAAUGGGAAGUGCCUCCGUCUGCAUAGCUAUUAUUCAUUCCAUACUAACAUUAACAUUAACACGAUCAAAUAAAAAAAGACAAUAUAACUUAACAUAACAAUCGUAAGGUACCAACGACGAUGACGAUGUUAGAAAUGGGUCGGUUCUGAGGUUUAGGUUGGGCAGCCAUGGCUUGUUCCUCUGAUUGGUCCCCAAGCGCAGCCAUGACUAUUUGUUGCAGAUUCUUAUGCUUUUUAUGACUUUUCCUCUUCUAUCUUUUUUCCCCACAACGUUAACGUGUCUUCCAUUUAUAUAAAUAUAAAUAUAAAUUCAAUCAGAAUAAUUUUUGGGAGUUACUUUUUUUUUUUUCCUUCUACAAGCCAUAAGGAUUAAGGAGUUAUUUCUCUGUCUUUAAAAGGACAACAUUUUAAAAGUUUUUUUUGGACAAAACAUUUUAAAAGUUUGUCUUCGAUUAAAUCGUAUUUAAAAAUUUCUUAGUUCUUAUCUCUUUUAAUUAGUUUAAAUUUUUUUUAUUGAUAAUUGAAUAUAAUUUUAUAUCAUAAUAUAAAUUAUUUUCAUAAAUAUAAAAUAUAAAAUAUAAUUUUUAAAUAUAUUUAUUUAUUAAAAAAUUUAGUUAUAAUAUAAUUUAUAUGUUUAAAGUUAUUUACUUAUUAUAAAUUUUAAUUGUAUAAAAUAAAUAUUUAUCUUGUGUUUUAUACAUGAUAAGAUACUAGUGUAAUAUAUUAAGAGAAAUUAAUAACAGGUAUUUUUUUUUUAUUUCAAUGAUGUCUCACGCUUAAGAUUUGAUGUAAACUAUUUAAAUGACUAAACCUAUUCUAGUGAGUUUAAUUUAAGAACAAGUAAUUUAAUUUGCGGAUUACACACUACGAUCGAUAAAUGCCUGGAUAAAUGCAAAGGAUUACACAAUAUGAUUGAUUGAUAAAUACCGGGAACAAAAGCAAAUACACACUUUUUUUUUACGCGAAACAAACACGUGCUUCUAAAUUUUGGGUAAAUAUAAGCACAUUCUGUAAUUUUAAAUUAAUUAAUAAAAACAUUUGAAUUUUGACAAAUUUUCCAUUGAAAUUACUUUCCUGACUAGAUGAACUUAUUACUUAUCCUUAAUUUUUAACAAAUAAUAAAACUAAUGAUUUGAAUUUAUUUUUGAUUCAUUUAGUUUUUAUAAUUUUUAUAUUUAUCUUUUUUUAUCUUUAUAGUUGAUAAGAAGUGAAUUUUUUAGUUCCUAAAAUUUAUAUUUUUAAUUAUUAAACUUUAAGACUAAAAAAUUUACUUAUUCAACUUCAGAAACUAAAAAUUUAUUUAUUAAUAAAAAAAUAAGUUUAAAAACUAUAAAAAUUAAAUAUGUAAUUAAACAUUUAUUUUUGGAGGGUAAGAUCAAAGGUCCAUAAAAUUUGUCGUGAAACAAUAAUUCUCUAUAUAUCAUAAAAGAUGAUUAGUCUCCAUAUAAAAUUUUAUAAACUUUUAAAUUUAUGAAUUAGACGACUACUCUUAUAAUAUUCUUGAGAGGUCUUUAGUCUCAUUUGAUGUGAUUAUAAAAAUCGGUUUUUUACCAAGUAAUUUUAUCAGGUUUAUAAAAUCUGUAAGUGCUAGAGAGUAUUAGUUUUCACAUUAUUAGUUGUUCCCUUAUUUCCUAAUAAAGAUUGAACAAAUAUGAAUUCUUCAUCCCUUUACAAUUCUGCUAUACAAAUUUAAUUUAAUUUUAGCUUUUUCUUUAAUUUAUGAUAAUACAUACUGUAUCUUUACAAUAAAAAAAAGUGUUCGACUCCAUUUUUUAUGAAGAAAAAAUGUUAAAAAGAAAGCAAGAGUAAAACUGAAGCAAAAUAAAUGUAUUACAACAAAGCACAGCAAUCUUCAAAUUUGAGGUGUGUUCAAAACUUAAGGAAUAGCAAGCAAGAAACAAAAGGAUAAAUAAAAGACUGGAACCACAAUAAGUAGAUCUUAAACUGGAGCUACCAUUUGGUAACAUAGGUAACAUGUCAGGUAAAGGCAUUCGCAGUUCUCCCUGUAGAAAUAUAUUCUUCUACUAGAGGAUAAGGUGAAAUUGAGUUGUCAAAGUUCAGAUAUGCACUUUCCAUUAAUAAAAUUAAUAACUUGUUCAGAUCAAGAACAGCAGUUAGAGCUUCCAAAUUCUGCAGGAAUUCUUCUACAAUUGCUUUGUCACCAUCAACGAUACUAUUCACAGCUUUUAUAAAAAUUGCAGGAACUUUUAGUAUGUCGGCAACAUAUGCAAUAGCAGCUCCCUGGAGAAAAAGUUGAAAUGGGGAGUUAAGCCUAUAUUCCACAAAGGAAAGAUGAGAACAACUACUAGUUAUUCAGUCCUCUGCAAUUUAAUUGGGGAUUUGUUUCAUGAUACAAGAUGUGAUUUGUGAAUAUGUGGAUUCAUUCCAUUCCCAAUAGAUGAGUGGAAUAUCCCAAGGUAUAACACCAAUAAUCAGGUUACCUCCAUAUCUAUAACUGUGGCAUCAUUUGCAAUUAUUGAUGAUUCAUCCUGCUCUGUCAUAUCUAAAGAGCCACCAGUAGACAAUUUAGCCACCAGAAAUAUGCAUAAAUAUUGUUUAACAUUCAAGUUUUGCACAAAGACAAUGAACUCCUAGUCAAAAUGUCAAGCCAAGACAAUCAUACAAAGAUGAAAGAUAUUUUUGUGCUCAAAGGCACAAACUUCACAAGAUGCAUAAGCAAUUCUUCAAUCCAGGUAAUCUGGUUAACAAAUGACACAUAAUUCAGAUGAAAAAUUAUUUUGUGAUAUCAAGGGAUUUGGGUUGGCAAUAUGAAAUUAGAAUAAGACUAACUGUUAUCAAGAGUUUUGUUUUCUGCAGAAGCAUAUCAUUUUAUCAAAUAGUACUCACCUUUAGAUUAAGCUCCUUUACAAGGUUGGGUGUUUCAAAGACUUUACGUAAACCAAUUCCAUACAGAUCAAAAAUCUGCAAACAUCACUGACAUACACACAGCAAAACUUCUACCUCACUACAUUGCAAGCACGAAAAAAAGGUUAAAAAAAUAAAUGUGAAGGUUUAUAAAAAAAAUUAAUUUGAAAAUGAAAACAGGUAUCUAUUUUGCAUUCAUUUCACAAACCAAAUAUCUCAAGAAGUUUUAAAAUUUAAAAUCCACAAGUAUUGACCAAAAAAUAUUGAAAUAUGUUACUGUAAGUCCCUAUGCAAGUAGUUUCUUAAUAAGAUUCCUAACUGGGCUAAUUGCAAAAUUUAAAAGAAAAAUAGUAUUUAAUCCGCUUGAUUAAUUAGCCAACACAUUGGAAGUCUUCAAAACCCAACUUGACAAAACCCAACCCGCUUGUAUACUUAUAGCUAGUAUACAGGUCAACCACCUUACUCUUACUCUUGUUUUUCUUGAUUGUCGUAGGAGAAAAUAAAGCAUGAUGAGGUAUAUAAUGCUGAAAUCAUUAUAAUUCUUUUCCUAGGUAAAAUUAUAUUAUUGGAAGGUAAAAAGAGAUAAUGCAAAAAGAAGGACAAAGUAUACCACACAGAUAGAACCAAAGCCAAAACUAGAAAAAAGGAUAUAUUUUAACACAAAAAGGCAACAUAUAGACAUUUUGGAACACAAAACUAGAAAACCAACAAUUCUAACACUAUUGCUUGGGACAAGAUCGUGGCCACCUUGAAGCCACCAGCGGUGCCUGCAUUGAUGAUCAAGUAUGGUUGUAAUGCUAGAACAGCAGCAUAUGUUGCAAGAGCAGAUGGUAUCGUGCCUAUACUAUCAACCCCUGGAGGAAAUGGACCAGGACUCACCAAAUGAAAACUAACAAUAAAAAAAAAAUACCACUUUCUUUAUUUUUGUUCCUUGACGACGUGUAGUAGGGGCAUGUUAUAGUUAUUCUAACACACAUUCAAACCACCCCCCAUGCAACAAAAUCAGGAAACAAAGAAAGUUUAGGCUUCAUUAAGCUUAGCAGAAACUUUUAUAUAUAUAUUUGGUCGUAACGGUUUUGAUUGGGAUAGCAACCCAUUCAUUAUUCCCAGCUCAUCUAAUUUCUUCCAAAUAAUCAAUACAUCAUAAACCUAAUUAAAAACACAAUCCAUUGCAAUUUUGCCCAACACUUGUGAAGAAUAAAAAACGAAUUGAACUAUCGAUAACUUUAAAAGCUACCUAAACUUUUUGAGUAGUUAGAAGUGGUGCAGUAAGCAUCAAAUUGAAAAGAACAAACAUCUUACCCAAAGUUGGAUCAUUCCCAGCCCAAAUCCAGUUCAUAUUGAGAUCUUUGAAUGUCCCAUGAUAACGGACCAAAGGAACCCCCUGUGGAAACCUACACCAUUGUGCAUAGGUAGACACUUCAAUCAAUGUAGAUACGUGAAAAGCAAAGGUCCACUUUUCUUCAACAUCCUCUAUAAAAAUUAGGUUAAAAUAUACUUUUUUCUUCUUCAUAAAAUUGAAAAUAUACUUUUUUUCUAUAAAAAAUUUUCCCGUAAAUGUGUCGAUUUUUUUGCCGAACCAUGAUUAGGUUGUUUCCAAUUCGGAUAAACGAACCUUGCUUGAAGAAAAAAAAAUGACAUUUUUUAAUUUUGCAUAUAUGAAAACAACAACAACAACAACAACUUAUCCCACUAAGUGGGGUCGGCUACAUGGAUCAACUUUCGCCAUAAUGUUCUAUCAAGUACCAUAAAGCGUACUAAAAUUUUUAUAACAAUAAAAAUAAAUAUUUUUAAUUUUACGAGAAUGAAAAAUAUAUUUAAACCUAAAAAAUAAAUAGAUAAUUAAUUAAAAAGGUUAUUUUAACAAUUUUUAAUUUCAAAUUUCACUUUUAAUUUCUACACAAAUAUUGAUGAGUCUUAUUAGUCUUAUACUUUCAUUACCUUACCAAUUUUUAUCCUUACUAUAAAAUAUCACUGUUAAGGGAUGAUGCUAAGAAAGGUUGGCAACUUGCAAAACUAAAAUUAACUAAAAUUCUAAGGGUAUAUGCAUAAAACUAAAAAUUAUUUCCUGUAGUCUUUAUUUUAUAUAUAAAAACUAAUUUAGGAUGUUUUUUUAUAACUAUUAUAUUUUCAUAAAUAUCCCCUUAAUUAUAAGUCAUUUUUAUUAUUUUAUUAAAUAAUUAAAAUAUAUUAAUAUAAUUAACUCCUUGAAAGUAUAACUUUUUCUUGUGUAACGAGAAAAUCUAACUCAUUUAAUUAUGUAAAAUGUAUGAGUUGUUGUAAAUCUUGAGUCAUAGGAUGAAAAAAAACUUUGUUAUGGAAACAUUUUAAGAACAAUCUUUUUUAUCUUUUUCACAUGCAAUCAAAAUUAAAACAACAAUUAUAUCAAUAUUAAUGAAGAGAUAAAUUAAAAGUUUUAAAGCUAAUUAUAAAAAUAUUUGAAAUAAGAAUAAGAAUAUGUUUUAUUAAUGCUAGAAAUAAUUUUAGAAAGAACAUAUAAAUUUUGUGCAAAUUUAAUACUGUUAAAUAAAGUAAUUAAAUUUCUUAAUUCUUGUUAUUGGUUAAAUUAAUUCUUAUAAAGAAAGACUGGAGAGACUAAUUUGUAAGUACUAAGUAGCAUAGCAUCAUACAGUGCUUCUUUUCCAGCAGCGAGGUAGCUAAAAUAAAAAGAAAGGAAAAUGUGAUUAACUAAUUAGAGUGAGUGAUCUUAAACCCAAAGAAAAUGAAAAAGAUCAGAGUGAGAAGGGUCCUCUGUUGACAAUUAAUGGGAAGUGCCUCCGUCUGCCUAGCUAUUAUUCAUUCAAAUUCCAUACUAAUAUUAACAUUUAGACCAUCACAACAUGACAUAACAUAGCAUCGUAAUAUUUAAGGUACGUACCAACGACGAAUAUGAUUGGUCCCCAAGCGCAGACAAUACUAUAUAUUUAGCAGUUUAUCACUAAUUAAGAACAAGUAAUUUGAUUUACAGAUUAAACAAUAUGAUUGAAUGAUAAAGACCGUAAAUUAAACAAAUAAAAACAUUUUUUACGAGAAAUGAACACGUUAUUACUCUCGUAUAUAUAUUUUCGGCAAGACCAAAGGACCAUAAAAAUAUAAUUUUUAAGUUUCUGGUGAAGCAAUAACUAUUCUCAAUGUAUAAUUUUAAAGAUGAUUAAAUAUAUUUUUAUCUUUAAAAUAAAUUGUUUAACAAAAAUGAUAUAAUUUUUAUUUUUAUUAUGAAUUAAAAAUACACAACAUUUAUGCAUUUUUAAGAUUAAAAAUGACUAUUUAUUUUUUUUUAUAAAAAAACAUAUUUUGAAGCUAAAAAUAUACGUUAAUUUUUUUUAUAUAGUAAAAAUCAUCUUUUAUCUAUUUCAUUUCAGAACCGUGCUAAUUUGUACGAAAAGUUUUCACACGAACAAGUACGAAAGCCACAUGUUAUUUGAUUGGACAAAAAUAGUAGAUUAAAAAGUAAAAGAAAGAAGUGAAACAGAAAUCAUACUGGUAAUUAUAAUUCGUAUGUGAUUUCGUGAGUACAUUUUCGUAACAAAAAGCAUUUUCCUUUAUUUUGAUGUAAAUUUAAAUUCACUUUAUAACAAAAAGGAUUUGAGUUAGUGUCUUAAUAAUACUUAACUGAUUCAUGAAAUUGCAAUUUAGUCUUUGCUUUUGGAUGACUCAUAAUGGAUUGAGAAGUUCUUACUCUCAUUUUUUAUGAUUAAAAAAAAGAAGAAAAAAUAUAACAAAUAAUCAUAAUUCAUAAUAAAUUUAUUGAUUUUUAUGAUGAUUAUUUUAAAAUUUAAAUCAAUAAUAAUUUAUUAUUAGAUAAUAAUAUAAAAUAAUUUUACAUAACUGAUAGAUGAACAUUAAACUCUUAAAAAAAAACUAGUUUCUAUCCAACAAUUUUAACAACUUUGUGAAAUCCCUAAAGGUUGAAACGAAUAUUCAUUCUCUGUUGCUCCUUUAUUUCUUCAUGAGGAUCGAGCAAAUAUUGGUCCUUCUCCGUUUCAUACUGUAUAAUUUUAGUUUUAAUUUUCUCUUUAAUUUAUGGUGCAAUAUAUCAUUAUUAUUAAUUAAAAUAUAUUAAAUAAGCAGUACUCAAAAUUUUGUGACUUUGAUUAAUUAAUUUUUUUAUGGAAUCGAUUAAAUUUUCUCUUUAAAUAAAUUUCAACCAAUAAUUUUAAAAAAAGCAUUAGAAAGUUUAUUACCAGCAUAUCUCAAGAAUGAGUUAUAAAUUACCACAUAGUUGACAAUGAAUUUGCAUGUGUUGUACAUACAAGAUACAACAACAAUUUUCAAUCAACAUAAAUGUAUUACAAGAAAACACACAGGAUUCUUAAAAAAUGAGGUGUAUAUGUUCAAAACCAAAGGAUCAGUAGUAGGGCAAGAAACAAAAGGAUAUAUAAAAGACUGAAACCACAGUAAGUAGCUCUUAAAAUGGAGCCACCAUUUGGUAACAUAGGAAACGUGUCAGGUAAAGGCAUUUCGCAGUUCUCCCCGUUGAAAUAUAUUCUUCUCGGAAAUGCCCAUCCAUUACUUACUGUGAAAGAAUUUGGAUCUUUAUCCAAUAGUAUUUCUGUAGUCACAAGACCCACUCCAUCCUUAUCAGAAUGCACUAGCUCAUUGUUGUAAUAAUCUAUCCCCCAAAAAAGGGAAACUCCAUCUACCAGAAAUUUCUUUCUUAAUUAGUGUCAAUGCAACGAAUGUAGUCUAUACUUUGUCAUGAACGGGUUAUGUUAUAUUCUAAACAGAUUAUGAUCAUGGGUGACAAUAAGUGUGUUUGGAUGAAGAUCUAAAAAAUUGAUUUUGUAAUAUGGUUUGAUCAUGGGUGACAAUAAGUGUGUUUGGAUUUGGAUGAAGAUCUAAAAAAUUGAUUUUGUAAUAUGAUUUAUAUAUUUGGAUAUUUUUAUUAUAAAAUCUAAGUUAAAAGUAAAAUUUUACAAAUUUUUAAAUCAAGUGAUUUAAUGUUGUUUUAACUCAACAUCAAAUUAAUUUUGAAUUUAAAAUUAAUUUUAAAUCUUUUCUAAUGUAAAAUCAAAUAUAUAAAAAUAUAUCUAAAAUCAAUUAUGGAUGAAAAUUAAAUUUUCAAAAAAGUGAAACCAAAGACUCACUAAAUCUAAUGUUUCACGUUGUAUAAAAAAUUUAAAUACUUCUUUUGAUUAAAUAUUAUUGUUAAGUACUGAAGUGUAUACAAUAAGAAAGUACCUUGGAGCCCAAGGGUGGGAAGUUUAGUGCUGUUGAAGCUGUAAGUUCUCGCUUUUUGGGUGAAACCAGGAUGUUGAACGAGUACGUUCCAGUUUGAGUAGUUUCUGUUGUAGUUGUAGUUAGAAAUUGUAAGCUUCACCCUCCAUUGGUUCAUAUAAUUGUUCUUGAAAUGCCAAUGGACUCGAACUGGGCACAUGUGGUCGGUGCAUUCAAUCAUUUCAUCAAUUGUGUUGUCCUCAUUAGACCGUGACAAGGAACUAGACCUGGUUAUAUAAGCAUACAGAUGAAUAAGGAGAGAGGAUGAUAAUAACGGCAUGCUCACAAAUGUAAGCAAUUGAAAUGCACCUUAUGCAAGUUGCUGUACUUUUAUCUGCUUCUCUGCAUCCACAACUGCAAUUACGGCAAGAUGUGAUGGCGGGGUUGUAAAAUGAUGAGAGGGAAACACAGCAUACCGGUAUUGUGUUUGCUAAGAAACUGGAGUAUGCACAUGUUGACUUCCAAGUUCCUGAAAUGCAAAAAUGUUAAAUCUGUGCUAAGUACACUAAUCAUAUAGUGUCAUUUAAAUUCAAAUCAUAGAUUGUCAUGCUAAGAUUGUUGAGUGUGACAAUAAUUACUUUUAAUUGAUCCACAGUGAAAAAUCUUUACAUUUAUUGUACAUGUCAUUUAAAUUCAAAUCAUAGAUUGUCAUGUCAUUUAAAUUCAAAUCAUAAAUUGUUAUGCUAAGAUUGUUGAGCUUGUUAAUCAUAGGAUAAUUUUUAAUUGAUUAAUAGUAUAAAAAUCUUUAGAUUUACUGUGCAUGACUUCAUGGAAAUUAAAAUCUAAAUCAAAUCCUUUCUUAAAAUGCAUCUAGAUUGUGUGUGUCUCAUGCUUCUUUAAUUAUUCUAUCUGAGGGAGCUCUCUUUGAGUGCGACAACAAAAGAAAAACCAUUUGUUGCAUGAGAAUAUUACAUGACAUAAGAAGUGUAACUUACUGAGAACAGGAACUUGUCUUAGUCCCCCAAAAUCUGAGGACACUGAGAGAUCAGUGUCAAGAAGGGGGCUACAAGUGUAACCAGGACCUGGGGCCAUCAAUGUAAGAUUAAUAGGUGCUUGUCCAAGUGGGUUAUCUCCCACGUUGCGCACUUCAAGUUCAAAUGAAGAGAAUGCAUAGAAAGGAUCAAUAGACCAGGGAGAGAGGAGGCCACCACGGCAACAAUGCUCUGACCUGUUUUGUGAGGCAUCUAGAGAGAGAUCAACUAUGGUGGGAUCUUUCUUGCAUGAAUGUGGCAUCUGAGAGCCGCUGUAAGAUGAACAAUUCCCUCUAUCAGUUGCUAUGGCACCACUCAUUGACCAUAUCACUUCAUUGUUAGCCCACGUCCAUCCUAGUUUCCACCCAGGUUUGUCUACAUGCCGAUAUUGAUAGUAGUUUUGAAGGGUCACCCUUGCCUGCACAAAACAUUCAAUCUAGAUUAUUCAUAAUAUAUAUUAUAUUCAAAACAGUAGAAGAACUUGAUCAAGUAAUUAGAGUAGUCAAAAGAAUCAACUACAAGUGCCUCUAUAUAUUCAGACCAAAUUUAUAGUCUUUGUCUAUAUAGUAUACAGUGAUCAAAAUGACCAAGUUGAUUGGAAAUUUUGUACUUUCAGUAUUUAUCAAUAAUUUCUCAAGCUCCCGGGGAACUUUUGCUACACUUUGCUGAGCAUAACUGUGAAGCUACUAAAUAUGUGGUUCAAAAAUCAAAUUUCAGCGUGUGAUUCUACUAACCAGAUAUCCAUUAUCUGGAGUACGUUGGAAGAUGUCAAAAGUUACGGAAAUGUUCCCAUUAGGAUCCAAUGGGUCAUAACAAUCUGCAGAGAAGGUUGAGAACGAUGUAAAUGAGCAAAGGAGAAAAUAUAGAAGAAGAAAAAAAGCAGCAGAUAAAGGAGAAGUGCAUUGCCUGAUAAAGUGCAGAGAGCAAGUAAUAGUAUUAUCGACUUCAGCGUAGGAGAAUGUACGCGAUGAACAUUCAGCCCCAUUUUUUCCGUUGACAAUGGGUAGGUUUGGAUGACUUUUAUUUAAUAAGUUGUGUAUCAAUCUAGAGAAACCCGUUAUCUAUUGCUUCUUAUUAUAGUACUCGGAUCAAACAAGGGGUCAUUGGAAAUAUCAAUUACUUAUUAUGACUAGACAAAUCCUGAAUUUGGCCAGUAUUAUAGGAACCUUUCAUAGAUUCCACUCUAAUGCUUGCUAACAAGCUACAGAAUAAUAUUUUGAGCAAAUUACAAAUAAAUCCUCUUGACCAAAGCUUGCUAAUGCACCAGACUUGGUGAAAGGACCUUUCAUGUUUUCUUGACCUGUCAUUACUUAUUGAGACAGCUUUUUAUGCAUUGUUGUUCCUGGAUAUGGUACUUGUCCUCCUUUAGCUACAACGGAAACGAUGCACAAGGAAGAAAAUCAAGUAAACUUGGUCGUCAAAAGUAAUGUUGAUCCAAGUUCACAAGUGAUAUAAUCAAAUUAGAAUAUAUAAAUAAAAAAUAAUUUUCACUUUAUAAAUUAAUUUUGUUGUUAGAUUGAGUUAAAUUUAUAAUCAACAUUCUAAGAUGAGAUUAAAAUUUAUUCUAACAAUUUUUGUUGGACUUAUAGUGUUAUCCACUAUACCAUGGGAACUAGUACUAUAAACUUUAGAUUUCAAAGAUGUUAAAAUCUCACAUUAACUAAUAAUAUGAUUAAAUUAAAAUAUGAUUGACACUCAUAUAAUUUAUAUUUUAUAAUAUUGAAGAUCUUAAGUCAAUUAUUAAUAUGACCAUCAUAGUAUAUAUAUCUGAAAACAAUUUUUAUUUAUUAACUAAUUUUAUAGGAUUGAAGUAGGUUGAAACCCAUAUGUUAAAAUGAUAUUAAAAAUGAACUUUUUAUUAAUAGAGAUAAACAAGAUAAUUUCAUCAUUCCACAACCAAUAAUAACUUCUAUCAAUAAUAUUUAAUAACAAAUUUUAUUUUAAAAAUAUAUUUAAAAGAUAUAAAGUAAUUAUAAAUUAUUAUUUGACAAAUUAUUAUAUUGAGGGAAUAUAUUCUUUAUUGACACUUGCAAAAUUACUUUUUUUAUUACAAAAAUUAUAUCUAUUUUUGUCAUUUGGAUUUAUACAAGAGAUUAACUGAUUUUGAGGAGUUAAGCCGAAGAGUAUUGAUAACUCCUCUCUUUUCUUGCCGUGAUGAAACUCCAAUAUACAUUAAUGAAUGAGGAGCGAAUAGAUGUUCAAGCUAUUGCAUAUAUGAGAUUAUUUCGAAAGUUAUAAGUCCCACACAUUGUUUGGUUUUGCAUGCCUUUAAGUGUUUAUAUAUUAAGUUUUGUUUUAAACUUUUAAAUAGACUAGUAGAGAUACGACAUACAUGUACGAGACUGGACUAAGUGGACUUAGUGUCACGCAAAUAAGGAUCUUUUAGAUUUGUUUUUGCAUUAAUUAUUUUCUAAAAUUAAAUUAAAUUUCAAAUUUGAGUUUAUCUAAAAAUGAAUUUUUUAUUUGACUGUUUUUUUUUUUUACCAAGUCUUCCUUAGAAAGUGGUCGGGUUUAAAUGUGGGGUUAGAGGAAUUAUGUAAUGUUCAAAAAUUAUUUGAAAAACUCUUCUAUAUCAACCUUUAUUGGAUUUAUCAUCAUUAAAUUUUGUCCAUUUUAUUGUCCUAAUUAAUAUUAACAAGAAAGUCUAUAAAUUAUGAGGACUCAUGUUUCACGCGAAUAAAUUCUUAAGAAUAAUGAGAAUUUCAAAUGUUUCAAGUUUGUUUUGUGAUUUCUAAGAUUUAUUUGUUAUUUUGGUAUGUCCUUGAAGCCCAAUAUUUAUUUUGAAAUGUAAAAUUUUACACACCAAAAAUAAUGGUUGAGCUUGAUAUUUUAAUUUCCCUUGUUCUGAGGCAUGGCUUCUUGCCUUUGUCCACUAGCUGCCGAACCUUCAAAAGGACAUUAAAUAUCUAAAAGGAUUGGGAUUGGUCUAUUUAUCUUUGGAAAACUAGAUGUGUUUAAAUAGUGUAAAUGAAGUCUCCAAAUCAUAUCAAUUGAUCAUGAAAACAUAAAUUAUGGGCAUGCAUAUUUAAUUCUUGCAACGGAUUUUAUCUUUAUUUUUCAUUUCUUAUUUCUGAUGUUUUGCAAAGCAUGUUAUAACCUCUAUAAAAAAAAAAGUCCAAAAUCUACUAACAAAAGGAAAAUAUAUAUGCUACUUUUUGGCGAGCAUUUUCAUUUUUCAAAACAGAGAAGAUGAAUAUAAAAAACUACCGAGUUCUUUCUGUUGAAAACAUAUUGAAUGAGAACGAUAAGAACAGUUCCUCAUUGGGGACGGCGACUGCUUCUGUCAAGUAGUCCUUUCUGUUUAACAUAUACCCGAAAUAAGAUACAAAUGUACACUCGCACAGAAAGUAUUGGAUUCCAAAAGAUAAAAACAUAACAUGCAAUAAAAAGAAAAACAAUUGUCUUCAGUAUAAAAAUAAUGAAUUUGAUGGUUAUGUAUUAAUAUAAAACAAUUUAUACUAUCAAUCUAUGAAAAAUCAAUGUUAUUAUGAUUUUUAAUAUAAUUAUUAUUAAUAAAUUUAUUAUAUAUUAAUUGGAUGAUAAUAUAAAACUGUUUUAUAUUAUUUUAUAUAAACUAUUUUUUUAUUGCACAGAAAUAUUUUUUUAUUGGACUAUAAUGAACCUUUUUCAAAAUGAAUUGUGAUGGUCUAGUGGUCUAGUUAUCAUCUACGCUAACAUAUUUACAUAUUAUGUUUCACAAAGCAUAUACCUGAAAUGUUCUCCUAUAUAGCUGCUAUUUAUGAUGAGCCAGCGGUACCCAAGUACAAUACUUCAAGAGGCUUGGAUUCCAAAACCAAAAGGAUAAAGAAAUGUGAUUUAUAUUAAAAACUAAAAGUAUAUAAAAGAAUUCCAAAAUUAUAAAUAUGAUAGUAUAAUUUUUUUAUUGGACGAUGAUGUACUUUUAAAGCAAAUUGUCUAGUGGUCUCGUUAAUUAGAAUUCAAGUGUAGAUAUUAUGUUUGGUGUUGGUGACAGUGUCAAUUGUGGAGAGCAAGAAGGGACAUAUUCCCUUGGUUGUGUCCAGAACUUAUCCAUGACCUAGAUUUAUACGCAGCUACACUAUCCAAUCGCUGAGCUCCCAUGCCCCAACAACUAUGUGAUGCUACAUCACUGCCUAACCAGCGGAUUUUCUUUAGGGAGGGACAGCUGGGCUUCCAUAACUUGAUAAUUAAUUUCAACAAUGUUAUUUGCACCGUACCAAAAUAAUACAUACAUAAAAAAAAUUAUAAAACUAAUCUUAAAUCAUCAUUAAUUCAUUUAAAGAUUUUUUUUUUCAUCAUUAAUAUCAUAAGAGAUAUAAAAGUGAAAAAAGUAAUUAAUAUUAUAUUGAAGAAUUAACAUAUAUAAUAAUUAUUUUAAGAUAAUUUUUUUCCCUUACACAAUAAUUCUAAUGAGAUGAAAGGAGUAUUUCUGUUGCUAUUUACAAGACUCAAUUACUUAAUUCAUUAAAAUUAAAAAAAAUAUUAAUUUAAUUGAUAACAAUAAACUUAUCCUAAAUUUAUAUACUUCUUCAAAAAUAUUAUUAUUAUUAUUAUUAUUAUUAUUAUUAUUAUUAUUAAUGUUUUGCUCUUUUAAAUAUAUGCUAAUAUAACAUAUCUCUUAUUUAAUUAGAGAUAUUUUUAGUCUAAAAAUAAUUAAUGCAUUAAAUAAUAUGAAUUGAAUCUUAUAUAUAAAAAAGUAUAUCUUAUAAAUAGGAAACAAGUUCGUUAGGGCUUAGUUUUAUGACAGUUGAUUUCAUUAAUUACAUAUUUGAGCCAUCUAAUUUGAAUCUUGUUGGGAGUGAUAACAAAAACUGCUAGAGUAGUCCAUAAGAGUGUGUUUGGUUUGUAUUUUUAUUUCCUAUUUUCAUUUUCAAAAGAUUAGAAUUCUGGAAACAUGUUUGGUUUAACCAUCCCUGUUUAAAAAAAUUCUUGUUAUGGUGGCUAACCACAAAGAAGACAAUCCUCCAACAACACUCAAAGUAGAAGAGAAAAGAUUGGGAUGAAAGGAGAAGAAUAACAUAAUUAAGCAACCAAUUCUCAAAACCCUCAAAUAGAAACCCUAAAAUGAAGAAUUAUCAUCCUCAUUAAAGAAAUAAGUAGAACAUAGAAAAUCCUAAAACUCUCAUUAAUGGACUCAUGAAGCAAAAAAAUGAGAAAAAAUGAGACAUGAAGCAAAUCUCACCAAGAGAUUGUCAAUUGGGAAUGGUGUUGUGGCAGUAGUGGUGCAGCGGAGCAAUGGUAGUGGUGUGGCGGAGCAGGAUCGACGAAGAGAGGUGUGAGGCAAACUGGUUUGAGAGAGGAAAAAAUGUGAUUGAAAGAGAGAGAGAGAGAGAGAGAGAGAGAGAGAGAAGCGUAUGAAACUGAGUUGGGUUUAUUGUCUGUGGAGAGAAGAAAAAAAGAAAGAGAGAGAGAAGCAUAUGGAAAAAAUUGGAAGGGGUGAAAAAAAAAAAAGAAACUGAAAACACUGAAAAUGAGAUUUUAUUGAUUUCAUUUUUUGGUUGGUUUGAAAAAAUAUUUUUAUUGAAAAUAUUUUCAAAAAUUCAACCAAACACAUUUUCGUCACCAUUUUUUAUUUCUAGUGAAAAUGAAAACAAAAAACAACAAAACCAAAUACCCCUAAUUUUGCAGGUUUUGAAACAAGUAACACUGUGCCAUGUUUUUCAAGAGUUAUUAAAUCAAAAUUUAAAAAUUAUCAACCUAGCCAGACCAAUCAUUUUUUACACCUCAAUUUUCUUAGAUAGUUUCGCCACCCCCACUUAUUGAAUAUUGAAUAGUACAAAGGGCUAAUUCAAAAAGAGAACAUAUUUUUGUCAUCUAUGGGAGUAAUUCUUUGAUAUGCACGAUAAAUUAUGGACAUUCAAAUCAGUCGUGCUAUGCACUAGUCCAUAUAGUACGAAUGGGUAUUGCAUGAAGCUGAGUUUGUAUUUUACCAUACACGAGAUAAAAAAAAUGUUAUCCAAUUGGAAAAAAUGAAAGAAGAAAAUAGAAUAAUUUAAAAUAUUGUUUGACAUGUUUUAAAAUUCAUGUAAUAGACGCAACACUAUGCCUAAUUAAGUAGUUAUGCCUUUAUACAAGUCAAAUAAUAAUUUAUGAAACAAGUUGUUUGAUGGAUGAUAACUCUUAACGAACACUCCUUGCUUCCAUUAUUGCCCAUGAUCAGUUGUUCAUAAAAGAAUUAUUAAAUAGAUGUUUCGUCAUUGCAUAUACUUUCAGGUACUUGUGUACCAAAAAAAAAAAAAACAAGUUACUUAAGGUAUCCUCUAGCCGGCAUAGUCCUACAUCCCAAAUUUCUUCAACUUUUUUGCCUCUGCCUGUUGAUCCCUGUAAUUGUAUGCAAAAACAACAAACGGUCCAAAAUAAAGAUGGUGUGUGCCUAACAAAAUCCAUAUUCAUAUUAAUUUAUAUUUACAACUUUUUCUUUGCUCCUCAGUCCUUAUUCAUUCAACAAUUGUCCAACUGCUGGUAUAUUGUAUUUCCAAAGACAGUGAUUUGAAAAAUGUAUGCCAUAUUAUUAUAUUCUCUUUUUUUAUGUUGCCAUCAAGGCGUACAGCACAUCUAUCUAAAUUACAACUGAAGUGAUAAACAAGCCCGGCAAGGGAUAAUUAACAUUUUUUUUUCUUUCCAUGGCAUUCUAUAAUUUUCAGAUUCAUAAAUAAUCCACAUCAUACAAAGUGAUUUCUUAAAAGAUAAACUAUGUCAGUAACAAUUUCCAUGAAUAAAAAAUCUUAUUGUACUUAGUUUUUGACCCGUCACAAACUUGAGACAAUUAUGCUGUUUCACUAGAUGGCUGCAAGAGUGUAGAAGAUGAGCCUAAAGGCUCAUGCACAACUGAAUUGGAAGAAACAGAUAUGGGAUUUGCCUCUAACUGUAACGUGAUACUACCCAGUAUUUCACUUAAAAUUUUCUUGAAUUCGUCUUCUUUAACUGUCUUGGUGUCAUCUGCAUUCACCAUCUUAAAGGCUUCAACAAUAACCUUAUCAAUCUGUAAAAUCAAACACGCAGGUUUUUAAUCUCUGGCUCAGGAAGAUGCAAUGAACAUAAACUGUAAGGCAUCAUUGUAUCUCAUGCUAUGCUGGCAUGACCUGAAAAACAUAAACACUAGUAGUAGCACUGGUUCAUGCCAACUAAGAUUUUUGAGCUUUUAUUGAGUAUCAUAAAAUAAAUUGCACCAGCCUCAAUUUAUAAACAAUAGUUUUAAUUAAGAACAUUUCAAUAAAUAUGUGACAAUCUCUACUAUAAGCACUAGCAGUAGCACUGACUCAUGCCAAUAGUGAUUUUUGAGCUUUUAGUGAGUAUCAUAAAACAAAUUGCUCCAGAAUCACUAAUAAAUGAAGGUACUAAGAACACUUCAACAGAACAUGUGACAAAUCUCCUAUAUUUUCAGCCUAGUUUAGUUCUUUAUUCAGCAGCAUACAAAAUUCAAUAGAGUGAAAGCAAUUGACAGCUAGAUGAAUCUGAAGUAAGUUGGAAUGUGGAUGGUUGACUGUGUCUGCAUGCAUUGGCAACAUACCUCUUCAAUUGCACCAACUGGAGGUAAACCAGCAGAUGGAGACACCAGAUCUAGUGCCACCUGUUGGUUUUGUGGAGGAAAUUAUAAAAAACAGAGGAGAGAAGAGAGACAAUACGUAUGCAGAGAAAAUAGAAUUAUUUUAUUCUAAUUCAAAUUGUUCUCAGCAGCGAUACAAUAAAUAGCAAAAGAUAAACUAAUUAGAUAACAAGAUAUUAGCAAAACAAAAUAUUAAAACUAACUUGCUCCUUAAAGAUAAGGAAUCACUUAUUGACUAGGCUAAUCCAUUAAAACUGACUUACCCCUAAAAUAUAGAAAAAUUAACUUAUUUACUAAAUCCUAUUUUAAAAAUUGAAAAAUAAAAUAUUAUGCAGUUACAAAAGUAUAUCUUCAACACUCCUCCUUGCUUUUGGAACUGCAAACUCCAAUUCUUUGAGUUCAAGUUUGUUGAUAGGUAAUGACUUUGUAAACAUGUCAGCCAGUUGAUCUUUAGACUUACAAUAAAUUAAGUUCACUUCACCACUUUGUUGCAUCUUUAUCAAAUAAUAGAACUUGAUGUUGAAAUGUUUAGUCUUCCCAUGACACACGGAAUUGUUUGCAAUAGCAAUGGCUACUUGAUUGUCAACAAAAAUUCUAGUUUUGUUCUUUUGAGCAAAUAGAAUGUUUGGCCUUGUUGUAGUGAGAUACAUUAGACAUCCAAUCAAGCUCCCACAAUAUCUUUCAUCAAUGUUAUCAACACCUUCUUCCUUGUUGAACUUCACCUUUUGAUUCAUUGGUGUGCUAACAGAUUUGCAUUCCUCCAUUUGAAACUUAUUCAAAUUUUCUUUUGCAUAUUUCCUUUUUUUCAUGUUUAGCAUUCUUUCAAGAUGGCAAUGAUCAAGUCUCUUGUGCCAGAGUUCCGUGGGUGUGACUUGAGUGAAAUAGGUUGUAUGCUCCUCCUCUGCUGGAUCAAAUGAAAAACUUUUACCUUUCAUUUUAACCCUUAGAACUUCCGGCCAAAAUUGUCAUAGAUAAAGCAAUGUUGAUGUUCAAAGGACACUUUAAAUCCCUUUUUAAUCAACUGACCUACGCUUAGCAAGUUUUGGUCAAUGUUAGGUACAUAAAGAACAUCUGAUAUUAAUUUGAUACUUGAACACGUUGAAAUUGUAACAGUUCCUUUUCCUUUUACAGGAAUAUAGUCACCAUUCCCAAUUCUAACCUUUGAGACACUAGUUGGCUUCAAAUCCUUGAAUAGAGUCUUAUCAUUUGUCAUGUGGUUCGUACAACCACUAUCAAUCAACCAACUUUCACUUGAUUCACUACUCAAGAAGCAUGUGGCCACAAACAGUUGGUCCUCUUCUUCUUGAUUAACAAUCUAAGCUCCCUCAUCAUGGUGAUUUUUGUUGGCGCAGAUCACCGCUUCAUGCCCUAUCUGGUUGCACUUGUUACAUUUUGCAUCUGGUCUCCUCCAACAUCUGAAAGGUGCAUGACCUUUUUUGCCACAAUGCUGACAAGGUGGAUAAUUUUUCUUUUUAUCCUUACCUUGGUUGUUUGCACUGUUUUCGCUGCUUGUUGGUUGAUUCUUCUUGAAAAAAUCCUUUUUGCUUUCAUCAAUUUCAUGAUGUUUGGCGGGCAAAGCACCUUCGACAACACGAUCUUGCCUCAUCAACCUUCGCUGCUCUUGAGCUUGCAGGGCAUGUAGCACUUCUGCCAAUGUGAUUUUCGACAGAUCCUUUGUGUUCUCCAAUGAAGCUAUAGAUGCUUCAUACCUCUCCGGCACCGUUACCAAAAUUUUAUCUACAAUUCUCGAAUCAGCAAAAUCACUUCCCAACAACUUUAUCUUGUUGGCAAUACCCAACAAUUUGUUUGAGUAUUCUUUGAUUGUCUCUGACUCUUGCAUCCUUUGAAGCUCAAAUUCCCUCCUUAAAUUCAGCACUUGCAUGCUUCGUAUUCUAUCAUCUCCAGCGUAUUCCUCUUUCAGAUAAUCCCAAAUUGCUUUGGGUGAUUUAAGAGUCAUGAUUCUGAUGAAUAUCAUUUGUGAAACACCAGUGAACAAACAUGAUCUCGCUUUUGCCUUCUUCAUCUUUCUUUCCUUGUGAUUUUUAAUUUGGGCCAUGGUGGGAUUUUCAGGCAGCGGAUAUAUUUCAUAAUCCUUUUCCACAGCAUCCCAUAAAUCCAAAGAUUCCAUGUAGGAUUGCAUUUUCACUUCCCAAAGAUCAUAAUUCUCUCCAUCAAAGAUUGGAAGAGUUAUGUGGAAAAAACUUGCUUCACCUUCCAUGGUACAAGUCCCGUAAGAAUAAGGCUCUCGAUACCAAUUGUUGGUUUUGUGGAGGAAAUUAUAAAAAACAGAGGAGAGAAGAGAGACAAUACGUAUGCAGAGAAAAUAGAAUUAUUCUAUUCUAAUUCAAAUUGUUCUCAGCAACGAUACAAUAAAUAGCAAAAGAUAAACUAAUUAGAUAACAAGAUAUUAGCAAAACAAAAUAUUAAAACUAACUUGCUCCUUAAAGAUAAGGAAUCACUUAUUGACUAGGCUAAUCCAUUAAAACUGACUUACCCCUAAAAUAUAGAAAAAUCAACUUAUUUACUAAAUCCUAUUUUAAAAAUUGAAAAAUAAAAUAUUAUGCAAUUACAAAAGUAUAUCUUCAACACCACCUGCAGAUAGUCCUUUGAUAUUUUUACGUUGCGAUCUUUCGGCAGAUUCUCUAAAGCUAAGUUCAACGUCUGCAUCACGCAAUAGAGUGGUAAAUUUCAUGUAUGGAUGUUUAAAAAAAGUAAAUUCAAAACAAGAAAGAUAUCGCAAUGAAUCACAAUAAAAUAAACCCUGUCUAAUUCAAACUUGUUGGAUAAAAGUCUCUUGACACCGCGUCCAUCAAAUGUGUUUUCACUGUGGGCAACAAUGACAGGUUUCUCUUUAAGAAAAUCAACCACGCUCAAUGCCACUUUCUUAAAUUCUUCCAAAAAUGUCUCUUGAGCAGCAGGCUUGUCCAAAGCAGGGCCAGCUUGAGAUAGUGCUGGAUCCACAAUGUUGUUGAAAACCUUGAUGAAAAAAAGACAAACCAGGAGGGUAAGGAAAUGAAAGAAGGUUGAGACAUAUUUCUAAAUGAAAUCUAUUUUAACCAUGUUUCGAUCACACAAAUUCUAGUUUCAAAAACAUCUUUCAAGGACACAAUAGUUGCAUUUACCCAAGAAUCUGAUGUUGGAGGAAUUCCUUGAUCAACAGUGAGUCUCCCAAAAGCUUCAAUCACAUGUUCACGAAGGGAUCCACUAGGGGACUCAAUCUGAGAAAAAAUGGAUGCCAUUUCUGCUUCAUAACUUGGACCAUUAACAAACUCAAGAAGAUCUUCCCCAUCCAUGCGAAGUAUAACAAUAGGGUCUUGCUUUAGUCCAGCAGCCAUGCCCAAAAGAAUGUCCGAGAGAACCUCUUUGAACUCAGUCUUGCUCACUUUUUCUUGCUUGCCAUGGGUGAAUUCAUUCAAGACCUAUAGGACAAGUCAAUAGAAUUUUCUACUCUUUUAGUUUUGUUCAAUUAGUAGUACAAAUUAAUGCAUGGAUAUUUGGGUAGUACAUGUAGAAAUCAUCAAAGGAACUUGGAGACUUAUAUUGAAAAUAUAAUGACAAAUCAAACUCUUAUUCUAAAAAAUAUAAUGGAUGCAGAUUGACAUCUUGGUUUACCCAAUAAUACCUAUAUACCCCACAAACACAUAUUGAUCCUAUAUAGAAUCCAUUUCUGGCUAAAAUUACAGCCCACCAGGUAGUUUUUGUUGGUCCAAUAUAUAGUUCUAGCAUGAUAAUAGUACUUCAUAUUUCAUAAAUAACAGAAUAAAAGGAAAAUAACCAAAGGGAAAAGCCCUACGGUAAAUCCACAUUGUAUGCUAACAUGUCAUCAAAUAGAAUCAUAUUGCUUCUUCUUCUUUAUUGGGGCUAAGGUGUCUUGUACUCUAAUUUUUUUAGUAUUUAUUGUUUGCCCAUAUUUAGCAUAUAUAUAGGUAAGGAUUUGCUUUUUCCCAAAGCACGCCACUAUAGGAACACCUUUACUUGUCCACAGAUGGAGCACUAGCAGUUUGGGUCCCAGGAAUCCAUCAUUAACUAUAAUAACAGAUUAACUUUUUGCUACUCUAAAGUCUAAUAUAAACUACAAAUUUUCCAGCUUUUCAGCAGUAGGGUCUAGAAUCAAGUAUGGUUUAACAUAUAAUUUAUUAAUUUAACAUAUAUUAACGGUUAUAAUUGCUAUCUUAACAUUGUUUCUUCCUCUAGAUACAUCACCAGAUUCUGUCACCAGGAAGAUAAUAAAAAGAAAAAUAGAGCAGGGCAAGCAAUUGCAACAGAAAAAGCUGCUGAUUUCCACCGGACCGACCAAGGUAACAUGGUUCAUGGACUAUGGUACUUCUGGGAUCAGCUAGAAGUCAAAAUUUUGAGAACUUGUUCUAGAAAGUAAGCAUCACACUAACAAUAAUUUUAAAAAGCAUAUUGUUAUUUAAGAUUUUUUUCUUAUCCCAAGUUCAGACUCAGACUGUUUCUUCAUCUACAUCUGAAGCAUUAAAAAGUUAUAGAGUCUGCAAAGAGGCCACAUAUACAGAAAGAAAAAUUUAACAAAUGGAAACCAAAAGACAUAGGAACCGAAGCAAAUCAGAGGACGGUAGUGAGUAUUUUAUUGAUGAAAAGUAAACAAUUUUUUUCUUAGUCAUCAUGACAGUAUUGUCAGGGACAGAAUUAAAAUAAUAAGCAUUCGAAUACUGCCAAAGCUUAAGCCAACACAAAAGUCAAAUAAAGCUAAAUAGCCAGCCCCUUACAACAUCAAUCUUGUUAGCAAGUCAGUUUGACACUAUGUAGCAACCUGUUUGAGUCUUAUCACUUGUUUUCUAAGUGGGAAUUAUAAAAAAAUGACAAAGACUUGUUAGUUCAUUAGUAAUUUCUUUCAAAUAAAGCCAUGUACAUCUUCUUUCAUGUUUAACCCCCCCACCCAACACACAACAUUGCUAAGAUUCCAAUCCAAGAUAUUUUCAAAACAAGACAAAAUCCCAAAAAAGAAAAAAAGUAGAGAUAUUGGGCAAGAAAAAGAAAGAAAAGAAAACCUCAAAAUAGAUGUGAUCUGAAUCAGGACUAGUGCCUUGAGCAGGCAAACCAAGACCAGCACCAAUGUCAGCAACGGCAGGUUCAAGCUCCUUCAUGGAGAGUUUGCCAUCUCUGUCUUUAUCCAACUCAUCAAACUUAUGGUCCACAAAGUUGCUGAAAACUUGCUCGUUUCCAACUAACUCCAUAAUCUUGGAACCAUCCACAAUCUCUCCCUUCCCACCAUUUUUUCUCUUACUCUCCAUUGUUUCUGAGUGGUAAAGGUAACACACUAACACAGUAACACCCUUUUCUUUUGCCUGUGUUUGGUUUAUUAAUGAGUUUAAGCACAGUGGAGGAGCAGGAGGAAGGAAAGGAAGAA